UAUCUCACAGGUCAAAUUAACGAUUAUCCUAACCCUAAUUAUCACGACAAGGAUUUCAAAAUAACUAAAAAUCUAAUCCGAAUUCUUACGAAUCAAAUUAAUAAUUACAUUGAUUCAGCACUUAAAACACUAUCAACAAACCCCAAAAGUUAAUAUAAUUAAAAAAAAUGAUCCGACAUCUUACGGAUCAAAUUAAUAAUUACAAUAAUUUUAGGGAAGACCCUGUGGAUAAUGCCUAGAAAAUCCAUGAAAUAAAGAUCACUCCUAAACUUAAAAGAAAUAAAUAAAAUAAAGUAAAUAGAAAAAGAAAAUAAAACUACCUAAUUUCCCUUUCCUUUUCUUUUUUUGUUUUUCUUUUCUUGCUUUCUUCACCCACGGCCGAGCGGCUUCGGUGGAUCACCGGAGGUUGGGUUGUCGGCGUUCAGAGCUCCGGCAAAGCUGAGCCGCAAGUUGCAGACGAGUCGGGGGCGAGACCAAUGUUCUGGUGCAGCAGAUCAGGCUCUGAGCAGGGGCGUAGGCGGAGGCUAAGGGGGUCCGGCAACUGCUGCGAGCAAACGGCGGCAAGAGGGAGACAGCACGGUGGCGUCGGACUCCGGUGGUACUGCUGGGCGUCAGUGGUGGGGUCGUGAGCCGGAGCAGGCGGAUCUCGGGUAGAGUCGUCGUGACGACAGAUCGUCAGCCGAGUGGGGACUCGGAUGGCGAGGUCGCGAGCAACAGGUGGAUUGCUGGUCGACACGAAAGGGGCAGGUUGUGGCGAUGACCGAUUGGAUUGCGAACUGGCGGGUUGCAGAUGAGGCACUACGGAGCUCAGGGCAACGGUGUCAGGCGUCGCGGCUGCUGGUGUUGCGACAAGCGGCAGGCGCGGUGGACUUCGGCUACAGGGACGCCGAGGUGGAGGCGCAGGCAGGGACGCAGUAGGGGCUCAGCGAGGGAGGUCGGCACGGCGACAUCAGUGAGGGCGGUGGUGCGGCUGCAGGGAGGCGCGGAUGUCCGUCAGAACUUCGCGAGUCGUCGGGUGGAGCGGCGAAGCGUUCGAUUCGAUCCAGUCGUCUGCGCUUCCGCGUGCUCUAGGGCGGCGUUGGGCGGAUCUGUAACAUUCCGGGCCCCACUGUGUAAUAUUGUCAACUUUGGGUCAUCCGCCUGGCGUGGACGAACCGCCAUCCCAGCCACGGUCUUUUCCCUCACAGCUUUAAAACGCGUUACACAGGUAAGAGGGACCAAAGCCUUAUAAGCUGACCAAGACCUCCCUCUCUAGGCGAUGUGGGACAAGAGAAAAGGCUAUUACACUCUCCACCUCUUAACAGAACAGCGUCCUCGCUAUGGCCCCACGGACAUCAAAACUGCAUUCAAGCUGUGGUCCCACACGCAGUCGGGAGUCGGCUCUGAUACCACUUGUAACAUCCCGGGCCUCAUUGUGUAAUAUUGUCCGCUUUGGGUCACCUGCCCUGGCGCGGACGCACCGCCAUCCCAGCCACGGUCUUUUCGUCGCUGGUCCUCCUGGCUUGCGAUCUAGGUCACUUGAUCGGAGGCGGGGAGGAAUAGACGCAGAUCGGUGCUUAGCGAGAGGCAGACGCGGGGUCGUCGGCAGCAAACGGAAGGCGAAAUCGGGUCCGGCGGAUGGAGGGCAAAGCGGAGCCGGCGAGUGUGAGGGAGACGAUGAACAGUAAACGUCCCCUCACCUCUGCCUUUUUACUUUUAUCUUUUCCCUCUCUCUCUCUCUCACCUGUCUCUCUCACAUCACUUUCUCUGCACACUUCUCUCCCUUUCCUAUCCCAAAGAACCGAAACCCUCUUCCUUUGUCUCUCUCUUUUCACUUGACCUUUUUUUGUUUUCUUUUUUCGAUGAAGAGAAGCCCCCCUUCAAUUGAUCCGUACAUAUCCUUUUAUAGGCGAAACAAAAUAGGAUCUUUUUCGUUAAUAUUUUCAUCUCCCAAAUAUUGCUUAUAACCUUUUGAUCACAAAAAUCCUUAUCUCAAAAAUAUUCUCCCUCGAUUUCAUCAUCUAUUGAUAAAAAAAUAAGAUUACAAUGCGAUUUUUUUAAUUUCCAAAAAUCAUCAUAAUAUCGCAUCAAAUCUUAAUUUUUCACAAGAUAAUUAAUUAAACAUAACAACGGGCUUGGGUUAAUUUUCUCCUUUCAUGGGCCUAGCCCAGCCUGCUAAUUUAAAACCCAAAACCACUAAUUCGACCCAUCCACCACCGGUCCAGUAAAUACAAAUAAAAGAUAAAUGUACCUACAACUAAAUGCUAUGCAAUUAAUUAAUUAAUUAAUUAAUUAAUAUAUUUUUAGGGGUUAAAAUUAAUCCCUAAUUUCUUAAUGCAAUAAAUGACUAAACGGGUAGCCAAAAUUUAGGUGUCAACAGGGGGACACCGCAUUUGACCAAGAACGGUUUGGAUGCCAAAAAUGUGAGAUCCACGAGGAAUAAAAUGGUCAAAACAUUAUGAAAGGAAGUGAAUUGGUGACAAAAAGAGUGGAAAAAUUGCGGCCCACAAAAGAAUAUGUUGGUUGUAACGUUUAAUGGUAUGUAAUCAUAUAAAUUGGCAAGUGCAACAAAAAAUCAAAAUUAGGGACUAUCACGCAACGGUGUGAAAAUCGAACGGAAUAAUCCGUGAGUGCUUGGAAUUUCAACAGAAAAAACCUAUGCGUCGAGGCAGGAGAGAGUCUACUUCUCUAGUUGAAAGAAGCGCCAGGGCAAAUGGUUGUCAUAGACGAAUGGCCAGACGUUACUUUGUAGAAAACUCUAGCAAGAAGCUAUGGAGUUUCCUUUUCAGAUAUUAAAAUUGGUUAGAGUCCAUUUAUUUGAAAGAAAAUUAUAUUUCCAAAACAUUAUUUUCCGAUUUUUCGGUGUUUAGAUGCAUGAAAACCGAUCGAUCUACGGUAUACAAGUUUAGAUUUGAGGGAACACGGCUUUCCCUCGUUUUGAUUAGGGGCAAGUCGUGUUCCCCCAAAUCUAAGCUUGUUGCUUACAAUUCAUGAAUUUUUUUUUCAUAAAUUGAUUAGCUUUUUGUCUUCUAAACACUGAAAAGUCAGAAAACUGUUUUUCUUCCAAUAAAAGGGUCUUUAAGUUUGACCAGGGUUGCUUCCCUGAAGCUUCUCUGAAAAGGUAGAAUUUUGGGAUUAAGUUCGUAUAAUGUGAGGGAUGAGAUUUUGCUCUCCCUCUCUCGUUGAGUCAAUGGUCAAUCAUCGCAAGAUAAUGAUAUAGAUAUUCAAUUGGAACAAAAUUCAAGGGUUUUCUUUCACGUUAAUGUCGUGGUUGAGAUCGAUAGGUUGUGAUUUUCGUGCCAUAUCUAGAAUAAGUGAAAAAGUAAGUACAGGAUCAAAAUGCAAUUGUCCUGCAAACAAGGUCAAAAAAUUUUAUAAGCCGUGGAAUUUUUAUGUGAGGCCGUGCUCGUGUCAUGCCAAAUUCAAAUAAUUUUGCUUUAUUGUAUAAUAAUUCUUGUGUCAAAUUGGGAAUUGUCACCUUGAUCUUAAAUUUCUCUUGAAGACAUAAAAAAUAAGAGUUAAUGCACAAAAAACCCAAAUUAAUACACCUAUAAUUAGAUUCCAUUAAAUUUUACCACUAAAUUACUGCAUUAGAUGACACGUAGCAUAGCAAUUGACGAAUGUAUUUGUUUAGAGUUGGUUUUUCGUGGUAUUAAUCCAAUUUAAUGGAAAAUAACGAAGGUUAAAUUUGUCAUACAUAUACUAAUUUUGGGUUUUUGGUAAUAAAAAAAAUUAGUUUAGAGUAAAUUUGUUAUAAUUGUAUUGGUUUGAGAUUUUUCGUGAUAUUAACCUAAAAAUCAAAUAAGUUCAACUUCAAAUUGCAAGAGCUGGUGACUAAGUUAUUUACGAUAGAUAUUCAGAAAUUAGAAUGUUAUAUGCACCUAAUGAUACGAUCCUCUGAAUGAAGCAUAGAUAUAACACACUAAGAGCUCUCCAACAAAAAUAGGAUUAUACUCCCCACUGGGGCCAAACCUUAUGUGGUGUUUGAACUGAGCUAUUUAACUUUGAUUUCAACCUCUUGAUUGAACCUACUUUGAUUAAAAAAAAAAAUCAAAACAAUUCCGGCCAAAUGUUGAUAUGGUGGACACGUGACGAUAACGUGACAUCUUAGAUAGCGCCACAGCAUCUCUAAUAAAACAAAGUAAAGACCAAAACUGAAAAGAUAAAAUCUCUAACAUCUUGCCGCGCGUGUUGAAGCACUUUCAGAGAAAAGCAUCUUGAUGAUCUAAAGAAAGGUACCAAUGAGUCUGGCCAAAGAAAAAGUACCAAUGAGUCUCGCCGAAGGGAAAAAAGAAGUUAUGGGUGCUUAAUUUUGGUAUAGAUACAUAGAGUAUCUUCUAUAUAUAACUGGAAGAUAACCAAGUCGAAGCCAUGUUUCACAAGAAGUCUGUGACUUGUCUCUUCUUCCUCUUCCUUCUGCUUUCUGGCGAAUGGGCUUUGCUUCUUGGAGAGAAUUUCUAUCGACGUUUCAUCAUCCACUUCUUGUGAACUUUGAUUGCGCAAUUACACGAUGUACAAAAUGAACUAUUAGUAUGUUAUUGAGCUGCAACUCAUUUUAGUCUCAUAACCUCUAAGAAUUAUAAGCAGCAUGUCAUUCACUGGAAGCCAAAACUCAGUUUCACCCCUUAAACAUCUUGUACAAAAUGAAUAUGUAGGGUUAACAUCACUAAUGAUUCAAAUCAUGAAGGAGGUUGGAAAAAUGGACUAAUGAACAACAACUAUGAGUAGCAGAUGUAGAUCAUACAUUAAACAUCACUGAGGAUUGGGACCGGGAUAGGGAUAGGGAUUGGAAUGAGGAGGUCUGUAAUAAGCAUACACAGCAAAGAAAGACUGAAUUGUAGCAAGAGCAAGAAGUAUGAAUGCGGCUACAGCUGAUAUGAGAGACCACCGCGUGUUGAAGUAGGUGUUCUUAAAGCUGGCCCACUGCACCCGCCAGUCCUUCUCAUUAUAGGUGUUCACAUCUUGGAACACCUUGCAUAAAUAGUUCUUGUGGAUGUCAAACACGGCAUCUUUACCGAUGUUGCUGAAGAAAUGGGCAAUUUUCUCAUCCGUCCCAAAGUAUCUCUCAAUGAUCUUACGGUCGCACAGUAACCCGGCAUCUGCCGGUGUGUUAAGGAGGCAAGCCAUGAAAGUGGCAUAAGCUGUGACGUGCUUGGAGGAGCCCCUGUGGCACUGCUCAAAUGCAACGAAAUUGAGGAACAGACAACUCAUGAAGUCAUCGAAUUUUAGUACUGGAAUUUCCAGGACACCGUUGCUGAAUUUUAUGUCCAUGAAGCUUUCGCAAUUGGCCGGCUUGAACUUGAUGCCUGCCUGGCGGAGCUUAUUUGCGGGCUGGAUCAGGCGGAGAAACUUAUUUGGUCUCUGUCUUGUUUCUGGGGAAUCCGGGUUGUAAGUCAAACGGAGGAAAUUGAGCAGAUGUUCUCCUUCCCAAUUGGAGUACUUCUUCAAGACAUCGUCUGGUCUUUGAACCAUGCGGUUGAAGAAACUCAAGGCGAGAUCGGAUAGAGAAGGAUGGCUCUCAUUCCGGGACCCUAGUGUCAGAUCGAACAGACUUUCAAGAACGAACCAAGGAAUCUGGUUCUCAAGUUUGGCUAGAUCCCGCAUGAGGAAAGGCAACACCCAGGGCUCGGACAAUAAGGGGUCAUGGCCCGGAUCGGUGUAGCCUACCUUUUUACAGGAGUACUUGCAGAACAGCUCAAUGAUGAAGCAACCAUCAAGUACCAUCAUCUCAAUGAGCUCAUCAUUGUUGAAAGCUAAGGGCUCGGAAUAGCACUUCCUUAUCUUCUCCUCCAUUGGCUUUAAAGUCUCGACGAAGUGCUUUAGCUUUUCCCUUCUUUGGCUUGUUCGAUUGAGCAGAUCGACAGAGAAUCUCCGCUUGUGCUCUUGGAUCUUUUGAAACUGUGGCUUUCCGUGGUGGUAGGGGCCGAUUGGGACCGUGUUAGGUUGGUAUGCCAUCUGAUUUGUCUCGGACAGGCUUUGAGGCACUCUAAAGAUGGAAAAACCUAUCCCGUCGGCUGAUCCUGUGCUACUACCAUUGGUCAUUUCGACAUUCACUACAUGAUAAGAAGAACUACCAAUCCUGGCAGAUUGGCUGCAGCGAGAAUCCGACUUUCUGGGCAUUGUGUUUUUGCUGUUCUGUUUAAUUUGCUGAAGAUUUUACUGAGAUUUGCGCCUCGCACUGUAAAUAUGAAGAGCGGUGAUGCGUGAAACUACCAGGAAAUUGGCAUUGCUCUUCUUUGUUUCUGCUAAAAGACUUGCUGUCUUGACUUGACUAUCAAUAAUUAACGGUGGGGUGAGAAAAGCAAAAGAGCGGCCAAUGGAGAUGACCGGGAUUUAAGUGGCUAGGUCAAUAAUUGACUUAAAUGAACUUCCCUGAAGUAGCAUCGGCUUAGUGGACCAAUCUUCUAUGAGGUCGAGGGAGUCCUUCCUUUCGGGUCCACCAUGGCUGUCGUGUUGCACUUUCCACCUUUCAGUUCUGGGAAAAGUUUAGAAGCUAGCAGGUCAUUAAAUUAAAGCGUAAGAUAUUACAGAAAAAUCUUAGAAAAUAGAUGUGGAAAGGAAGACGAUGAAAUUCAGGAUAAGGAAAACGUAGUAGGCUAUAGAAUCUGACCUUAUUGAAGGUUAAAGAUGGUAGUGAUGCUGUUUGCAGAUGUAGCUCUCACGUCCACUGUCACUCAUGGGGUGGUCUCCAGUGGAGGAGGAGCAAAAGAGUAUAAAGGAGUCAAAUCAACUCUGCUUUGAGUCCGACUAGUACAGCUACUAGGAUCCUGCCCAAGCACUAGAUUUUCGGGCAUUUUAACCACCUCAGACAUCUUGGCACAGACAGAAGGACCGCAAGCCGAACACAACAAUACCAUUCAGAACAGUUCCUCUGCUCCUUCUCCAUAGUUCCAAGAGCAAAUUGGGAUCGAUCACUCUCCAACUCAUUCUCCUUCAUACAUCUGCUAACCAUGUAGCUGAUCAAGGUUGAAGGUUCGCUGUCCAGAGAUGAGCACCAGAAGCAUGCUCCGGUAGCCCAAAACAUCAUUCAGUCUGCAAUUUCCUGUCUGGAGGUACACCGGGGCAAUAACCCAUUCAGCCAAAGGCAAUGGUGUUGACAUGAACAUCUUCAGUGCAGCGAUGGGUUUGAAAACAACAAUCAGCAUCUAAAGAAUCUUCUCCUCAGCCAGAGGACACGAAUCCCAAGAGGUGCUUCGGUGUGUGCCUUUUAAAUAGUCCCAUUCUCCAUGAUUCUGUCAUGCAUGAUCAUGGCCAAUCCGAAAUUUCCAAUCACGACCUCCAAAUUGUUACCCAAAUGACGCAAUGCACGAUUUUAGCUUUACCUUGAUCAUGCAGGAACACGAACCCUUUUUGCUGCCCCAGUGCCCAAUCGAGAAGUGGGCUUGAUCGGUCGGUCUCUCUCUAAGACCAUAAGCUGUUGGAGAAAUCUUCUUGAAGUGUUUUGAAGUUGACAAAACGUUUUCAUCAGUCUAGUCUGAAGGCUUGCAGACUCUGCUAUUUAAAGUCCGAAGACCUCCGGACAGCCAGACUCAAUACUCAAAGUCUAUCCUCAUUGACAGUCUCUAAUCCGUUGAAGAAAGGUUAUCCAGAACUGGAUGUUUCGUCAAGGAUUUAACCAUAUCAACUGGAGAAGAUCUCGUGACUGGAAAAGACAUAACGGAGUCCUUUGAUUGAUCAAAGAUUGACUCGAUAAUUGAAGAUCCGGUGAUUGCCUAAAUAUUAUUGGAAGGUUCUACUUAUGGAAACCGAGAUCCUGAUUGUAUGGGCGAACAUGAUUGAUGGGCUAUCGACACGUUCCUUUAAUAGCUCGGAUAAUCUUCCUAAUUGAUUCCGUCCAACGGGUAGAUUGAAGGAAUUCCUUUGGUAAGUGCCAACGGGUAUGAUGGCAUAAAGGAGUAUACAAGGAAGAUGUUCUAAGUUGUUGAGGUGUGCGCGAUAGAAGAAUUCCAAAGUCUGAAGCUCAUUUUUUUGUUUAGACAAUUCCUUUGAGCGAAUACUUGUAUACAAAAGAGAGUCUAUGAGAAAUCUUGAGGAGGUGUGGUAGAACAUCCACACUGUGGAAUCAAGGCAAAGCUGUGCUGUAACUUCUCUUUUGUUCAUAAGUGAAAUUCAGCCGUUGGGCUGUCAGUGCGGAAGAGUGGACGUAGGCUUGGAAUAAGCCGAACCACUAUAAACCCUGUGUUCAAUUUUCUCUUCCUUACUCUCUUUACCUUGAUCGUAUUUCAUUUUGUUAAUCAAGAGAGAAUUUCCUUUCUAUCAUUUGCCAAGAAUCGCUUCCAUAUCUCGAUAAAUUGUUUGUACACCUAUUCACCCCCUCUUGGUGCUUAUACUAGCUAUCUCAAUUGGUAUCAGAGCCUGUGUACUCACUUUGUUUGAAGUAUUUUACUUCAGAGUUAAAGAUCCAUGACUAGUAUGUUGGCUCCAGGGCUGGUAGAAGGGCAAAGCAACACCAGACCACCUUAUUUUGACGGAAAGGACUACAACAUAUGGAAAAACAAGAUGAAGGCGUUCUUAAGAUCAAAGGAUCCUCUGGAAUGGGACGUUGUAGAAAAAUGAAUUGUUCCCAAAGCUGCUCCUGUCUCAGAAAGAGGAAAAGACUCUGUUGAGUCUAGCGAAAUGACUUAGGAAGAGAUAAUCAAGAUACAAGCUCUUGAUGCAAAAGCAAUUUAUUCUUUAUAUUGUGCUUUAUCACCUACUGAAUAUAACAGAAUAUCUUCUUGUGAUACAGCCAAAGAAGUCUGGGAUAGAUUACACAUUACUUAUGAAGGAACCGAUCGAGUGAAAGAGACAAGAAUCAACAUUCUUCUCGGUCAAUACGAAGCCUUCAGAAUGAAACCAGGAGAAUCUAUAACUGACAUGUUUAGUCGUUUUACAGAUAUCGUGAAUGGUCUUGAAAAUCAAGGUCAACCAAUUUCUGAUCCCAUGAAAGUAAACAAGUUACUGCGUGGACUCUCCAAGGAUUGGAAUCACAUAAAGACCUCAAUCAAAGAGACCCAAAGAAUCAUGCCACUGUCUGUCGAUGAGUUGGUUGGGACUCUUCAAUCUUAUGAAGUGGAACGAAUCAAUGAAGACGAAGACCCUAAAGGUAAGAAAUCUAUUGCAUUAAAAUCUAAUGAUGAUUCUGAUGUAACAGAUUCUGAAGAUGACAUUGAUGAUGAAGAACUUGCUCUUAUGAUAAGAAGAUUCAGAAAGCUGAACAGAAAAGGAAGAAGAUUCAAUGCAAAGAAACAAAGUUUUCAAAAGCAACAGACCAAGUCUGCUGAAGAUGAAGAAUCAAACAAAGAUGUAGUCUGCUUUGAAUGUAAGAAAAAGGGACACAUCAGACCCAACUGUCCUCUUCUAAGGAAGAAGAAAGGAAAAACUGAAAGAUAUCGAAAAGCUCUCAAAGCUGAAACCCGGAGUGAUACAGAGUGCGAAGAUAGUGAUGAUGAUUAUGCCAACAUAUGUCUAAUGGCACAAUCAGAUUCAGAAUCAAACUCCGAGACUAAUUUAGAUUCAGAAAGUGAAUUCGAGGUAAGUAACUUCAAAAUCCCUAUUAAAGUUUCAAAAUACAUUGAUGAAUUAUGUUUUAGUCUUAAGACUUCUCUUAAAAGAAUUUCCAAACUCAAAAAAGAAAAUUCUGCUUUAAAACAACAAGAGAAUGCUUUGGAGGAAAAAGUGAAAUGCUUAGACCAGAAUGUUUCUUCUCUCAAAGAAAGUGAAAAUAAUCUUUUAAAAGAAAAUGCAUUUUUGAAAAAUGAUAUUUCAAAUAUUUCCAAAAGAUUUUCUUUAGGUUCUGAAAAACUAGAGAAAAUACUUUCUGCUCAAAGACCUUAUUUCAAUAAAUAUGGUUUGGGAAUGACCGCUGAAACCAUUCCUUUAAUCGAUUUUCCUAAAGUAAAAGAAAGAAUCAAACAAAGACCCAUAAGAAAUGCUUACAAAAAUCAUUUUGAAAGGAACUUUGUAAAACCAGUAGGUCAUAAUGCUCUUAGAUGUUCAAAAUGCAAUAGUGCAUAUCAUUUUGAGAAAGAAUGUCCUAUGGUUUGGAGACCUGUCAAUAAAGUCUGGGCAAAAACCGUAUAUCAAACUAACUCAAAAGGACCCAAGAAAAUAUGGGUACCAAAGAAAGCUUGAGUUUCUUUUUGAAUGCAGAUCACUAUCAAGAAAAAAAAGUGAAAUGGUAUCUGGAUAGUGGAUGCUCUAGACACAUGACAGGAGGUUCAAAUUACUUCAUAAAGCUCGUUCAAGUGAAUGGUGGAAAAGUCUCAUUUGGAGGAAACAACAAAGGAAAAAUAGUGGGAUUUGGAACUGUAAAGAUUGGGAACCUCACAAUAAGCAAUGUUUCUUUAGUUGAAGGGCUCAAUUACAAUCUGUUCAGUGUCAGUCAGCUUUGUGAUGCCGAUUUUAGAAUAAACUUUCAAGAGGGUAUUUGUUCAGGAACCAGUAAAGACACUACUCAGUCAUUCAUGGGUCGAAGACAUGGAAAUAUCUACCUCUUGGACGUGAAACCAGAUGAAUCGCAAUGUCUAAUCUCAAUCCAAGACGAAGCGAACUUAUGGCACAAAAAGCUUGGGCAUAUCAACAUGAAGCAGAUAGCCAAAAUCUCAGCAAAGAAGCUUGUUCGUGGUCUACCCAAUUUAUCAUACCAAAAGUCUGAUCUAUGUACACCAUGUAUAUUGGGAAAACAUGUAAGAAAUUCCUUUAAACCAAUAAAUCAAGUUUCCACUAACCGUGUACUGCAGCUCUUGCAUAUGGAUCUCUUCGGACCAACAAGAACGCAAAGCAUUGAAGGUAAGAAAUACUGCCUAGUAAUUGUGGAUGAUUACUCACGAUUUACUUGGGUAUAUUUCUUAGCAAGUAAGUCUGAAACUUUCUCUUAUUUUGAAAAAUUUGCUAAGAAGGUUCAAAAUGAAAAGAGGUAUGUCAUUUCAAGUAUAAAAACAGACCAUGGAGGUGAAUUUGAAAAUCAAGACUUUGCAAAAUUUUGUGAUGAAUCUGGUUUUCAACAUUUGUUCUCCUCUCCAUAUACUCCAGAGCAAAACGGAGUCGUGGAAAGGAAGAAUAGAUCUUUUCAAGAAAUGGCUAGAACUCUUUUAAUUGAAAGCAAUAUCUCUUUACGUUUUUGGGCUGAAGCAGUUUCAACAUCAUGUUAUAUUAUCAAUAGAGUCUUUCUAAGGCCUAUUCUAGAAAAAAAAAAAAAAACCCUUAUGAACUAUUUAAAGAAAAGAAGCCAAUUGUUUCAUAUUUUCAUGUUUUCGGAUGCAAAUGUUUCAUAUUGAAAAAUGCAAAUGAUCGAGUUGGUAAGUUUGAAGAAAAUCAGAUGAAGGCAUUUUCCUUGGAUAUUCAACCACAAGUAAAGCGUACAGAGUCUACAACAAGAAGACUCAAACUGUGGAAGAAUCAAUGAAUGUCAAAUUCCAAGAUUCUAUUCAAAUGAAUCCAUUCAGACUCAUCUUGAAGAUACUGAAUCUGCUCCAGACUCAACAAAGUCUAAAUCUCAAGAAGCAGCUCAGAUUUUGAAGGAUCAGCAACAAGUAACUGUUGAAGAUUCAAGUGAAGAAAGUGAUCAUCAAUCUGAAAAAUUAAUCAGCAACUGGAAACAUAGGUCCAGUCAUCCCAAAGAUCUUAUUAUUUGCGACAUCAUUGAAGGAAUACACACAAGAUCCAAAAUGCGAGAAGAGUCUAGUGCCGUGGCUCUUAAUUCUGAAAUAGAACCCAAGAGCUUAAAAGAAGCUUUAUCCGAUGAAAGCUGGAUUGAAGCUAUGCAAGAAGAACUCAGACAAUUCAAAAUUAAUGAUGUCUGGGAAUUAACUCCAAAAUCGAAAGGUAAAUCAGUUGUUGGAGCUAAAUGGGUUUUCAUAAACAAGAUGGACGAGAAAGGUAAAGUCGUAAGAAACAAAGCAAGCCUCGUGGCCAAAGGAUACACACAAGAAGAAGGGAUCGACUAUGACGAGACUUAUGCACCGGUAGCAAGGUUAGAAGCAAUUCGUUUAUUACUUGCAUUUGCUUGUCAUAAAAAUUUCAGGUUAUUUCAAAUGGACGUCAAAAGUGCUUUCCUAAAUGGAUUCAUCCAUGAGGAAGUCUAUGUGGAACAACCACCAGGGUUUGAAGACCCAAGGAAACCAGACUCAGUAUUCAAACUCAAAAAGGCCUUAUAUGGCUUAAAGCAAGCACCUCGAGUUUGGUAUGACAGAUUAAGUAAGUUUUUAAUUCAAAAUGGAUUUGUUAAAGGUAAAGUGGACACUACUCUUUUUAUUAAAAGAGAAAGCAAAAGUUUUAUGCUUGUUCAAAUAUAUGUCGAUGAUAUUAUCUUUGGAUCCUCUAAUGAAAGUCUGUGCAAGAAAUUUUCUAAAACUAUGCAGGAAGAAUUUGAAAUGAGCAUGAUGGGUGAGUCAACCUUCUUUCUUGGACUUCAAAUAAAACAAUUGGAGGAAGGAACUUUUAUUCAUCAAGAAAAGUAUGCAAACGAUCUUGUCAAAAAGUUUGGUCUGGACAAUUGCAAAAAAGCUGACAUACCAAUGUCAAGUUCCUUGAAGAUAGACAAAGAUGAAGAAGGGAAAAAAGUCGAUCAAAAGCUGUACAGGAGUAUCAUCGAAUCUCUUCUUUAUCUUACUGCUUCUAGACCUGACAUUUUGUUUAGUGUUUGCAUCUGUGCCAGAUUUCAAUCAAAUCCAAAAGAAUCUCAUUUGAAUGCUGCGAAGCGUAUUAUUAAAUAUGUUUCAUCAACUUCAAGCAUCGGUCUUUGGUAUCCUAAGAAGGGAGACCUUAAUCUUAUGGGAUAUUCAGACGCAAAUCUGGCCGGUUGCAUGAGUCUUCAAUUUGCCAGUUGUUUGGAAGCAGGACAGUGUCUUGGUUUUCAAGGAAACAAAGCACUGUGGCUCUUUCAACAACAGAAGCAUAGUAUGUAGCUCUUGGAAGUUGCUGUUCGCAAAUUCUAUGGAUAAAACAACAGCUAAGAGACUUUGGAAUUGAAGACUCAUGCACGGAGAUUAAUUGUGACAACACCAGCGCUAUCAACCUCACCAAAAAUCCAAUUCUCCACUCAAGAGCAAAGCAUAUAGAGAUUCGACAUCACUUUAUUAGAGACCAUGUUCAAAAUGGAGAUGUUUCAAUUCAAUUUGUUGACUCAAAGAACCAACUAGCGGAUAUAUUCACAAAGCCUUUGGAGAAAAAUCAAUUUGAAUCUAUCCGUUCCAGACUCAACAUUUUGAGGUAUGAGGAAAUCAAAGUCUAAAGACUUUCAGACUCAGACAUACAAGACUUUAUCUGUAAGAUAGUCUUGGUACGACCGUCAGAAUGUAAGUCUUUCUCUCUCUAAUCUUAUCUUGAAAAGGUACAAUCGUCAGACUGUGUUUAAAUUGUUGCUAUAUUUAAUCGACGUAAUUAUUGCAUCAUUUCAUUUUCAAAAAGAAAGUAUUUUUGAAAUGGCUAUUUUUGCGGAAAAAGACAGUUAUUUUGAAAAUGCAUCUUUUUAUUUCCUUUGUGACGGUUCGUUUAUCUCUCUUUUUAACCGAUCGUGCACUGUUGAUUCCUCUUCACUUUACUCUCAAAAACCCUAGAAAGCAUCAAUCCUCCAUUCCCGUUUGUCUUCUUUGUUUAAUCUUCAAAAAGUUGUCAUCUUUCUUGGGAAAGUCAAGCAAGGAAUCUUCCAAAAACUGAGAAAGAUGUCAUCUUCAAGAAAGUCUUCGAGAAUCGCAAGCAGAGGACCACGGCGAAUGAGUGAGGGGCCUACGCACUUCGAUCUUACUGAAGAAGAAGUGUCUCCAGAACAGCAACCGAGCCCACAACAUUCUCAGCAGCGUCAUUCUCCUCCAUCUAGUCCUCAAGGCGUUGAUCAUCAACAACAGGAAGAAAUCAUCGAGGAUGCAGACCCUGUAAGAGUUCAAAAGCCCGAUUAUAUUUACAAGCUAUAUCGUGCCUUAAAAGGAACCCGUACUCCUUUGAACUAUGUUGAUGAUUUUCUUAAAGACAAACGAUAUAAGAACGAAUAUAUCUUUCUGCGAAAAAUUGAAAGUUUGGGAAUUGCUCGUAAAGGAGUGGCUGAGGAAACCCUUGCGAAUAUCCCAAGUGAUCCUCGUGACUGGGGGCCGAAUCCUGUAGAUGGGAAUGAUGAUGACAAAUUGUACAGCCAAUUUCAACCGAAAAUGGGUAUUGCGGUUGAAAAUCAAGGAAAAAGGGGAGAUUUGUUCAGAUCGAAGGAACAAAAGGAUCUGUACUCGAAAUUGCUGAAGCGUGGGGUAAUAAACCCUAGGAGUGUGGAUUUUGAUUUUCUGGAUGCUGUGAAUGUGAACUUGAGGGGAAAAGUUCAGUUAUCUUCAACUUGAAAAGUUCUGCUCUUACACUACAUAGGCCUAUGCUGGAUUAAUUGCAUAUUUCUAUUCAAUCUUAGCUUUUUGGAAGCGAAUAGAUUCUCUUUCAGUGUUAAAGACCAAGACUAUGUUGUGGAUAUGAAUAUGCUAGCAGAUGUGUUAGGAGUUGAAAGAGAAGAUAUCAACCAAUCAAAGUUUCCAUUGCUCGGGCCACACUGGAACUGGUGAAGGACAGAGAACAUAUGAGAGGAUCACCUACGUAGGAUGAGUGCAUUCAACAUCUUGCUUCACAGAUUGUGAUCAAUGCCGUCCGACCGAAGUCAACUUCCAAACUAAUGUUUCAGGUUCAGAGGCCAAGCUGAUGGAUGCCAUCCUCUUGNNNNNNNNNNNNNNNNNNNNNNNNNNNNNNNNNNNNNNNNNNNNNNNNNNNNNNNNNNNNNNNNNNNNNNNNNNNNNNNNNNNNNNNNNNNNNNNNNNNNNNNNNNNNNNNNNNNNNNNNNNNNNNNNNNNNNNNNNNNNNNNNNNNNNNNNNNNNNNNNNNNNNNNNNNNNNNNNNNNNNNNNNNNNNNNNNNNNNNNNNNNNNNNNNNNNNNNNNNNNNNNNNNNNNNNNNNNNNNNNNNNNNNNNNNNNNNNNNNNNNNNNNNNNNNNNNNNNNNNNNNNNNNNNNNNNNNNNNNNNNNNNNNNNNNNNNNNNNNNNNNNNNNNNNNNNNNNNNNNNNNNNNNNNNNNNNNNNNNNNNNNNNNNNNNNNNNNNNNNNNNNNNNNNNNNNNNNNNNNNNNNNNNNNNNNNNNNNNNNNNNNNNNNNNNNNNNNNNNNNNNNNNNNNNNNNNNNNNNNNNNNNNNNNNNNNNNNNNNNNNNNNNNNNNNNNNNNNNNNNNNNNNNNNNNNNNNNNNNNNNNAAGAAGAAGGAGAACUUGAGGAACUCUCUUCUCCACCUGUAGGCAUGGAAACAGGGGGAGAUCAAGAGAAAGGAGGGAAGUCUUCAUAUCCUGAUGCAAGUGAAGGAGUCAGUCGCUCACCUGCAGACCCAGAGGAUGUUUAUGUCUCUUAGUUUCCAGAAGAAGGUCAUGAAGUUUCAUCGCCAAACCUGCGAGAUUAUGCUGAUCUACCAUCGUCUGCAUUUACUCCAUCACAUCGGGCCGAAGCAAGUACUCAGACUGAUAAUGCAGCAGAUUUUCGCAGAAUCAUGGAUAUUCUCUUGGAGAUGCGAGGUCAAAAUUAUGCCUUGGGAUGCGAGGUUCAAAACUUGCAGAAUGCGGGUCAAUUUUCUUCAUGUUCAUUGAAUGAUAAGAUCCAAGCCCUCUCUGUUCAGAUUCAGGCCAAUGCCAAGGGUGAGGAGAUUGCUCAACUGAAGGAAGACUUGAAAAGGCUGGAAGGCAUCGUUCAGUCUAUGGAAGAUUUCCAGCUUGUCCGCGUUCCCAAGCAAUCUUGACUUCAUCUCAACCUUUUUAAUGCUGACAAAAAGGGGGAGAGAUGCAAGAUUUGAUCAAACUUUCAAUCGUUAAACUUUUAAUUGUGUGGAUUGUUUGUUGGAUUGUUUUGUUUGACUUUGACUUUGUGUCUGGAUGAGAACUGAUGUCUCGAUGAGAACUGAACUAGACUUGGACUUGAUUGCUUUUAUUAACUACUAUUGAUAUCUUAUGGAUGGCUUUAUCGUAUACUAAACUAACCUAUUUUCUGUGGUUGCAGAUUCUAGUGUUAUUCAUUUAGCCAUUUAUCUCUAUAAGAUAUGCAUAUGUGUUUGAGAAAUGUUUUGCAGGUCAAAGUUAUCCAAAUCUGUAGGAAAGUUUGUCACCAUCAAAAAUGGGAGAUUGUUGGAGAAAUCUUCUUGAAGUGUUUUGAAGCUGACAAAACGUUUCCAUCAGUCUAGUUUGAAAGCUUGCAGACUCUGCUAUUUAAAGUCCGAAGACCUCCGGACAGCUAGACUCAGGACUCAAAGUCUAUCUCAUUGACAGUCUCUAAUCCGUUGAAGAAAGGUUAUCCAGAACUGGAUGUUUCGUCAAGGAUUUAACCUUAUCAACUGGAGAAGAUCUCGUGGCUGGAAAAGACAUAACGGAGUCCUUUGAUUGAUCGAAGAUUGACUCGAUAAUUGAAGAUCCGGUGAUUGCCUAAAUAUUAUUGGAAGGUUCUACUUAUGGAAACCGAGAUCCUGAUUGUAUGGGCGAACAUGAUUGAUGGGCUAUCGACACGUUCAUUUAAUAGCUCGGAUAAUCUUCCUAAUUGAUUCCGUCCAACGGGUAGAUUGGAGGAAUUCCUUUGGUAAGUGCCAACGGGUAUGAUGGCAUAAAGGAGUAUACAAGGAAGACGUUCUAAUUUGUUGAGGUGUGCGCGAUAGAAGAAUUCCAAAGUCUGAAGCUCCUUUUUUUGUUUAGACAAUUCCUUUGAGCGAAUACUUGUAUACAAAAGAGAGUCUAUAUUUGUGAGAAAUCUUGAAGAAGUGUGGUAGAACAUCCACACUAUGGAAUCAAGGCAAAGCUGUGCUAUAAUUUCUCUUUUGUUCAUAAGUGAAAUCCAGCUGGUGGGCUGUCAGUGCGGAAGAGUGGACGUAGGCUUGGAAUAAGCCGAACCACUAUAAACCCUGUGUUCAAUUUUCUCUUAUUUACUCUCUUUACCUUGAUCGUAUUUAUCAAGAGAGAAUUUCCUUUCUAUCGUUUGCCAAGAAUCGUUUCCAUAUCUCGAUAAAUUAUUUGUACACCUAUUCACCCCCUCUAGGUGCUUAUACUAGCUAUCUCAUAAGCUAGGCUGUUAUGAACCAUAGGAGGACAAACCGGUAGAAGCUCUUCCUCUGUUCUGCAAAAGCCCCUCAGGCAUUGCACGUUGGAUGCACAUAUUUGAAACUCUCUUUUGGAACUGCUUCUCAACUCGUCGUGAGAGAAUUCCUGCUCUUUUUACUGCCAUUAGAGAGCCAUCGGCCAAGCGUCCCUAGUAAACCAUGCCAAUUCCACCUUUUCCCAAGACAUUGCCGGCACUAAAAUUGUGCAUCGCAACCUAAGGUUUCUGUUGCCAUACCCUGAAACCCCAAAAAAUGGGAGUGACAUAGCCGUUUUUCCACCUGAAGGAUGUAGCCCCAAAUCAUCAGAAUCCAACUCACAAAAGUUCUUUUCGAUAUCGCUCUCAUUCUAUCAGUUGCUAAUCAAAAGAUAUAGAAAGAUUGCAAAAGAGAUGAGAAACCACAAGCUUAGUGAGUAAUACUUAUUGCUUUUGAGAUAUGAAUUUACAAAUCCAUAGAAGAGAUGGUGUCACUCACCUAAAUAUGCCCCAAACCAAAUAAUAAGGCUCACUCAAUUCGAUAAACUCACAUUCCUAUCAUAUAAGCAAUAAAUAGUAUCGAAAUAAAAUAAAAUGCUAUCUCAAGUAUGGCUCGGCUAAACUAAGCUUAUACGUUAACAAAAUAAUCCCAUGCAUUAACAAAUCGCUUACCUGAAGCAAUUACUCAAACUAAAACUUAACUCGAAACUCACCUGCAAAACUCUAAAAUCUUGCUUCAACAAAACCGUUGUUCCAAAACUACUCCUGUAAAAAUCCAUUGCUCUAUAAUGUCAUAAUCCACCAUUUACAUGAAAACUUGAAGCUACACAAUCCAAAAAUUGGACUCCGCAGCUCAAUUUCCAUGUAACUUCGAAUUUUAACCCUAUUUCCAUAAACUAUGUGUUGUGAAAAGGUGAGUGAUCGAACAAUAAUAUAGACAGAGAAGAAAAUAAAUCGGACACCAAAUUUAUGUGGUUCAAUUGUAAAGACUUACGUCCACGGGGAGAACAACAACGAAUUUCUCUAUAGAUUAAGCGAUACAAGGAGAUUACACACUCAAGUCGUUUAAACACUCUCUCUGUGUUUCCCAAGCCCCAAUUACACCCAAUAAUGCACGCAAUGUUUAACCCCAAAAUUCCUCAAGAAAUAAUCUCUCAAUCUCACGAAUGAAUUACACGCAAAUCUUACCACAAGAUUUAAUUGGCCACAAACACUAAUCUUUCUUGGAUGUAAUUCACGACAAAGAAAAUCCCUCCCAAGCCCUCAAUAAUGAGAUGGCACUUUAAGACCAAUUCUUCACGAUCAACAGAGGAACACCAAGCACUCAUGCGGUGCUGACGUGCGGCUACGUUGAUCGUCGAACGUACAGCUUCAUACGUAGAGUUUUCUUUUCUUUUAAACCGACUUCACGAGCACGCCAAAGAAGGGAAUCGUGUGCCCAUGGUCAAAUAGUUGACCUGGGCCCACCAACGUUGGAUUCACGCGUACAUGUAGAGAGCUUCCCCUUUUUAUUUAUCCAUCAGCCCAUCCUUGUAAUAUUGAGUGUGCGUGUGUGCCCAAGGCCAAACUUUUGACCUUGGGCCCACCACUUUAACAAAUCUUCAUGUGCAGGGCUUCUUCCUUUGCUUCUUCUACGUAGAGCUGCAGCGACGUCCCUUGAAGGAAAAAGAGAAACUUCGGUGGCUUCACUCCAAAGGGCAAAAUUCUUCUUUUCAAUUAUUUCCUCCUUUGUGCAGCUUUAAGGUUCGAAUCUCAAACUCGAGUCAUAAAUUUAACAAACUCCACAUUGGCUCGACGUUUGAGCCAAAUUGCAAUCGUUUCGCAAAAAGUUCAAAUUCUACCGCUACUUUUCCAUAGCUCUCGAUAGACUCAACCGCCACAGAUAUUAUCCAAGUCCAAGCCUCGCUUGAACUUCGUCAUAACCAAGGAUCUCAUUAGAAUACCAACUCCACAUGCACCUUUAACUGCUCCGCAAUGAUUUUUUGACCCAACCUCCUCAAUCGUAGAUAAAGUAAAACCAUUAUUGCAUUCCAUAUCUAUUAUGAAAUUGAAUACGUACCUUAUCAAUAUCAGCAGUUACAACAACCGUCGGCUCUAUAAGCUUCUCCUCGCUACAAGCACCAUUUGUGUCAAUUACUUUGCUAGUGCUCAUACUUGCUACCUUAGGAGUUUCUGGUUGCAAGUCCACCUCAAGCUGAAUACCGUCUAGAUCUGUAUUAACAUUACCACACACACUCCUAGCCAAAAGUAUCAGAGACUUGUCAAGGGUAAUUUCUCUACUAUCAACAUGUAAAUUUAUAUCCGGGCACCACAACUGAUUGCCCCACUCAUCUUGUGCAUAGCCAUGGAAUAUGCACUUUGCCCUCCAAUUGAGCUUACCAUCACUCACUCGAAAAUAACACGGGCAACCAAACAUUCUAAGAAUAGAAUAAUUAGCAACGUUACCUGACAACACUUCUUUAGGAGUCCACCAUUUAAUAGCAGUUUAUAGGGAUCUAUUCACUAGGCAGCUUACCGUACUAAGCACAUCAGCUAGGAUUCUUCUAGCAAUACCAGCACUAAAGAUAAAUUUUCGGGCCAUCUCUAAUAAUGUUCUUCUCGUCAAUUCUGCAAAUUGUUGUGAUUUAUUUGCACUAGUGUAGUGUUGCACUAUGCUCUCUUUCAUGUAGAAUUUAUUUGCCAGCUUCGAGCAGAACUUCAUGCUAUUGUCAGUCCACACAUGCUGGAUCGACUUACCAGUUUCCGUCUCGAUCAAAGCUCUCAAUUGCGUGAUCCUAACAACAGUAGCAAACUCAUGCAUUGGCACAAACAUCUAGGUCUUCCUCGAGCAGUCAAUAGACUCUUGAAUAGAUGCAUCCAACGUCUUCGAGGUAAAAUCUAUCAUUGUCUCACCUUGAAGUUUAUACAGGCCUCCGUGCUUGAUUCCUUUCAUUAUCACCAAGGCACCUCGAACAACCUUCAAAACUUCACAUUUUGAAUAAUACCUGCAACCAGCUAAAUCUAGGGCACCCAAGGAAAUUAAGUUUUUUUUUUCAAUUCUGGAACAUACCUUACUCCAGUCAAUGUCCUCACGAUACCAUCAUGCAUUCUGAUUUUAACAUCACCAACACCCACAACAUCGCAUUCAACGUUGUUCCCUAACUGGACUUUACCAUUACCCGUGCACUGAUAAGUGAUAAACCAAUUUCUAUUUGGUGUGACAUGAAAAGAACAACUAGAAUCCAUAACCCAUCCAUCAAGCGAUAAAUCAUUAGUGACAGACAAGACAUAAUCGGCAUUAUCAGCUACAACUGCAACAUUAUCUGCAGAAUCAAUUAUAAUUCCCUUACCCUUCUCAUUCUUCAACUUAAGGCAAUUCCUUCUAAGAUGCUCCCUCUUGCCACAGCUCCAAUAGACGACAUUAGCAGUCCUAGAUUGACUACGUCUGUUCAUAUUAGUACUGCUAUUACCCACACGUGUUCUAGAUCUUCCUCUAUUUUCAUCUACUAAAACAGUAGAUACAGGUUCGCCAGAUUCUCUUCUACGAGUGUCCUCGCUCAGAAUCAAAUCUCGAACCCCAUCAAACGUCAAACUUGUUGAUCCAAAGGAAUUACUAACAUUAGUAAUGGUAGUAUUCCAACUAUUAGGCAAUGAGGAUAACAGAAUCAAAGCACGUACCUCAUCUUCAAAAUCAAUCUCAAUUGAACUCAAUUAACUAACAAUCACAUUGAAUUCAUUGAUAUGAUCUGCAACUGACGCACCUUCUCUCAUCUUCAGAUUAAAUAGACGUCGCGUCAAACAGACAUUGUUGAUUGCAAAUGGCUUCUCGUACAUAUCCAACAGGAUUUACAUCAAAUUAGUAGUGGUCUUCUCCUUCAGGAUGUUAAACGCGACGUUACGAGCCAACGUCAGCCGAAUAACACCCAUAGCUCGUCUAUAGCAAAUCCUAAUCACCUUGCUUCAUCGUCUCUAGUUUCUCCCCAGAUAAAGGUAAGUGCAGAUUCAUCUAGUAAAGAUAAUCUGGCAAAUCCCAAUCGGCUUGCUUCAAAUAUAUCGAUUCUCACUUUUAUUUCUUCUAUCGCCAUCGAUUCGCUUCAACUUAUCCAAGCCUGGCUCUGAUACCACUUGUUGUGAAAAGGUGAGCGAUCAAACAAUAAUAUAGACAGAGAAAAAAAUAAAUCGAACACCAAAUUUAUGUGGUUCAGUUGUAAAGACCUACAUCCAUGGGGAAAGCAGCAGCGAAUUUCACUAUAGAUUAAGCGAUACAAGGAGAUUACACACUCAAGUCGCUCAAACACUCUCUCGGUGUUUUCCAAGCCCCAAUUACACCCAAUAACGCACGCAAUGUUUAACCCUAAAAUUCCUCAAGAAAUAAUAUCUAAAUCUUAUGAAUGAAUUACAUGCAAAUCUUACCACAAGAUUUAAUUGGCUACAAACACUAAUCUUUCUUGGAUAUAAUUCACGACAAAGAAAAUCCCUCCCAAACACUCGACAAUGAAACGGCGCUUCAAGAUCAAUUCUUCACGAUCAACAGCGAAACACCAAGCACUCACGCGGCGUUGAUGUGCGGCUACGUUGAUCGUCUUCAUACGUAGGGUUUUCUUUUCUUUGAAACCGGCUUCAUGCGCACGCCAAAGAAGGAAAUCAUGUGCCCCUGGUCAAAUAGUUGACUUGGGCCCACCAACGUUGGAUUCACGCGUACAUGCCGAGAGCUUGCCCUUUUUAUUUAUCCAUCAGCCAUCCCUGUAAUAUUGAGUGUGCAUGUGUGCCCAAGGUCAAACUUUUGACCUUGGGCCCACCACUUUAACAAAUCUUCACGUGCAGGACUUCUUCCUUCGCUUCUUCUACGUAGAGCUACAGCGACGUCCCUCGAAGGAAAAGAGAAACUUCGGCGGCUUCACUUCAAAGGGCAAAAUUCCUCUUUUCAAUUAUUUCCUCUUUUGUGCAGCUUUAAGGUCCGAUGAAUCUCAAACUUGAGUCAUAAAUUUAACAAUGCAUGAGAGGCACGGGUACUUAUUGCGUAUUGCAAUAUAUAGUCAAAUUGGCUUGACGAGGUGCCAAUACUCCUCUUCUUUAUUUCCUCUCUCUUUCUUUCCCUCUUCUCCCCCUUCUCUUUUUUGCGCGAGCCGUCGGUGAAAGAGGGAGCGGAGCCCUUUUUCUCCCCCCCUUGUUGACUUGUCAAACCUUAUUUUGUUUUCGUUUUUCCCUUCUUCUUUUUUCCUUCUGGUCAUCCUCUAACGUUUUGACUUUUUCGACGCCGCAUAUUACACCUGUACAAAGGAAACCUUUGGGGGAGUGUUGCACAGUCCUCCACGGGGAUUAGAGAAACUGAAGCUCUGGAAACUGAACGCCAUCUUUUACGAAUUCGAUUUCUCUAUAAGAUAAUCGAUCAUCCAAGAUUGAUGAUUUUGUUCUUUGUUGCCAUUGAUUUAAAGGUACCUUUUCAUUUCAGCUUCUAAAUACGUAGAGCUUUGCUUGUGCAUACACAAGUCUCCUGCCUAUCUGACUGAGUCAAAAUAACUCCCGUUUUCAGGGUCUCUUUCUCACAACUAGGCCCCAAUUUUGGUUCAUGUGAAUAAAAUGAGAAGAAAAUGAGCGAACUGGGGGCAAUUAUGUCAAUGGUGGGCUAUCUCUGCGUUCCAAAGACUGUUAGCAGCUUCAGAGAGAGAGAGAGAGAGAGAUUCCAUUGGCCUCGAGGUUUGGCUAUCCUCAUAAAUGAGAAUGAGAGAUUCCAUUUUGCCACGAAGUUUCGCUAUCUCCAUGAAUUCUUCCUCAAGUGCAGAACCAUGGAAGUGGCCACCACGAUCACCGAACUAUGGGAGUCAAUCACCAAUCAACCAUCGGUGUGGGGAAAUCUUAGUAUUCCAAAGUCCAUUGGCAGCUUCCACGAGAGAGAGAUUCCAUUUGCCUCGAAGUUCCACUAUCUUCAUAAAUGAGAGAGAGAGUUCCAUUUGCCUUGAAGUUUCACCGAUCCUUCCUCAAGUAUACAAUUAGAGAAUAACGUUAGUGUUACGAGCCCUGCGGAACCAUGGGAGUGGGCCACCAAUUAACCUGUGGCGUGUAACAAAAAGUACUGUAGAUUGUCAAGGAAGAGUCUAAGUCCGAGUCCAUUGAUAUAUCUAAUUAUACCCACAUUUACUCAAAAAAAAUAAUAAAUUGUGUACCAACUAAAAUAUAUCGAGUACUUCACAUCUUACUAAUUCUCUGAUGUGAAUUUUUUUUUAUUACAAUUCACAUGUGCAUCUCAACUAUUAGACUUUUGAGUAUAUGCAUAAAUUCAACUUCUAGAUUCAAUUUUUGUAUUCUAGAAUAAAAUUGGUCGAUCCUUUAAUUCCAAGUAACCAUUACGAACUAACAGAUUAUCAAUGCUCCAGUCAUUACAAGGAAAAAGCCAAGAAAUUGUCAUUUUCAUCAUCGGUUUACCUUUCUUCAAAGCUAGGAAUGUCAUGGAAGCUUUGAGGAAAUUUCUUGGUGACCAGUCCAUUGUGACGGCCCAAGAAAAGUGCGUAUAUAAACAUGGAGAACAAAAAGCGGGACAGCAUUCUACUAGGUCCCCAAAUUUCCAUACGAAAGACCUACCUGUGCCAUAUCAACUUCUAAUUUGCAACCCUUACCACACAGAAUCUCCUCCAACAUCGAGACAGUAUAUGUCUAACUCCAAAUUCUUCUCUACUCCUCUGUUAGUGUUGUUGAGUUAGCCAUAGACUUGAUAUUGAGACCUCGGGGAUUGAUGAAGUUCCCCAAACAUCAUUUGUUUCGGUCCCCCUUGUGAUGCAAAAGGCUGUUUGAGUCUUGUGGUUAGGCAAUAAACGCAGAAAGGUCGGAUUUGUGGUGGAUUGAGAAGAAGAGCUUGACAAAUUCUUGUCGAGAUGGUAUUCAAUUUGCGCACGUUCAGUCUGUCCAGUACCAGUAUACAAGUUGGUCCAACAGCUCGCUUUAGGGAUCUGCUGAGGAGGUUCUCUGUGCAUGAACUUCAAGUUGCAACAAGAAACUUUAGCCCCAACAGCAUGUUGGGCGAAGGCGCGUUUGGACCUGUUUACAGAGGAUGCUUGGCUGAUGGUUCUAUAGUUGCGAUAAAACGAAUGAGGGAACUUUCUGAAGAUUCAAAGAAACAGUUUUGGACAGAAGUGGAAGUGGCAGGCAUUGCUCCACACCCGAAUUUGUUAAGCCUGCUUGGGUUUUGCGAUACGGAUCAGGAGUGCUUGUUAGUCUAUCCAUUUAUGGUUAAUAGAAGUCUAAACUUCCACUUAGGACAGCGAGUCAGCAAUCCGAUUGAUUGGUCUAUCCGGAUGAGAAUAGCUUUAGGAGUUGCUAGGGGGUUAGCGCACUUGCAUGAUCAAUGUCAUCCAAGCAUCAUUCACCGUGACGUGAGUUGUUCGAACAUAUUAUUGAAUGAGGAAUUCGAGCCAGUUUUAGGAGACUUUGGCCUGGCCAGAAUCAUGCAUGAAACGGAUAUUGUGGUGGGAAACGUCGAAUGGUCCAUCGACUGCGGACCUGUCAAAUGGUCUGUCAAUCGCAGACCUGUCGAAUGGUCCCCUAGAGACAGGCGUUGCAUAUCACCACAACGCUACCAUGAUACUUACGUCAACAGCGCUGUGCGUGUGCAUACAGGGUAUGUCGCUCCGGAGUACUUAACCACGGGCAAGUGUACGUGGAGGAUUGACGUAUAUGCAUAUGGGUAUAUGCUUCUCGAGCUCAUCACAGGAAAGCAGCUUUCUGAUAAAGGAAUUGCAGGUCUUCACCCAGCUGAUUUGAUAAGUGAAUUUGUGGAGGACAACAGCUUGGAAACAAUUGUUGAUCCCAAAUUGCAGGGAAGCUACUCGAAAGAUGAAGCAGAGUGCGUUCGCCGGUUGGCAUUACUCUGUGUUUGUAUAAACCCGGCAAAACGACCAAAAAUGUCCGAGGUGAUUAGCACACUUGAGAACUCAUGUCAUGAUGAGAGGAGUCCCAGUGAAGCUGAUUCUCAGUCAGAUUAUGAUUGGAAUCUGUGAGACCAACUGUAGCACUCCCUACUACUCCAUCCUGGCUUCUCCAUCUUCAUCAGAGAUUGCCUAACGUCAUACGUCAUCUCUCUUGCUUUUGCUGUAAAUUAUAGCUUCCACAUUUCAAUUAUCAUUUCCCUUGUACGUUCAUCAGGUUCUUGGAACUUCUAAUUCCCCAGAUCAUGUUUAUCUGAGUCAUCAUGCCUGUUGCCUCCAUUCGCAUUGUGUACUUAAAAUCUUGUUAUCGCACUUCUGCUCGCAGAGAAUAUAUUCUUUGCUUUACAUAUUUAUCUGGAAUAUACUUGGAAUUUCACUUGGAAAAUUCCUUGGCAGAGCUAAUAUGUGUGGGGUAGGAUCUUUGUUGAGGCAAAAUGAACUCUAACUGUGCUCGCUUAGGCGAAAAACUAUUCCUAGUGAUCUAGAAAUAAUUUCUCUGAACCAUGGAGUCUAUCAUGAUUUGGUCAUGAAUAAAGGAGCUUAAAUAUUGGAGGAGACGAAGCAGUACGGGUGCCUGAGCAAUUUCCAGAUUGGGGGGACUGAAUUGAAAUCUAGCUUGCUGACGCUUUAGCAAUAUUAGCUUCAACUCAUCAUUGGAAGAUACGAGGCAACCUUCUUUGUUUGGGUCAGGGAUGAAGGUAUGGUGUGAAACAAUUAAUAAUUAUAAUUAAUUUAUAAUUUAUUGACUUAAACUUUUGAUUGAAGGUGGGUCAAACUGAAUAUUUUAACGGCCUUUGACUUUGACUCUCUCUUGGGGAUCUCCCUUAUGAAGAUGUCGAUAUUUGUUGUGUCAGCUCAACAAGUGAUAUCAUUGCAUUGGUGGCCCACUCCCUCUGUGUAUCGGUAUCCGGUGAAUAUCCCAAACGAAAAAUAGGAAAUAUCAAACGUGACUCCCUAAUCAAAGCAGCAGAUGGUGUUCCCGGCUUCUUUUUAAGCUUGCCUAGGCCAACACGAUUGAUGUGGAGUCUAUGUAUCUGAAGAAAGAAAAAUCUCGAAUGUGACUCCCUAAUCCAGGUGACGGAUGGUGUCCCCUAGCUUCUCACCAAGCUUGGCUAGGUCAAGUCGAUCGCGGGGUCAUCUGAAUAUGUCAAUGAAGGAGAAUCUCGAAUCUGACUCAUCAAUGGAGGUGGCAAAUGGCGUUCCCGGCCUCCCCCAAGCUUAGUUGGGUAAAGGCAAUCGAGGUGGGAUCUGAAGGGUAGAUACUGUCCUCACCAAGUUCUUGCCAAACUUGGCCUAGCCAAAGUGGAGAGUCUCGGAUCAAGAUAAUAUUAGUACAGAUGAAUACCUGGUUAAGAGAGAGCAAGCCUAAUGCAAGCAGCUCACACCUGAGAGGAGAUUGGUUGAAGUGCACUUGUGAGGGUAUUAGGCCAAAGAAGUGCCAUAUCGAGAAUGUUAUGUAAUGUGGAGUAGCUAAUAUAUCUUAAUUAAUUCAUAACUCAUUAAUUUAAGCUUUUUAGUAAAAGCAGUUUUAAUUAGAUAUAUUGUUAGGCUCGGAUUUGGGCUCUUAAUAGAACUACAUCAUCCAAGACUGAAAAAUCUGUUAGCCGUUCCCAAAGCUUGAAGCACGACUGUUUUUCCAAUUCGAAUUAGACUAUUGACAAACGUGAUUUUCUAAGACCACAGGAACUGAAGGUCUGGAUUUUAAAAACCAUCUCUCGAUGACCCAAUGACAGAACUCUUGAUUCCUUGUUUUAGUUCUAAACAAGUUAGUACAUAUGAAGAUCGAAGGUUUAUUAUCAUGUGCAAGUCAAUGUAAUAAAUUUUCUAAAGACAAUCGAAAAAGUAUCAAGAAAGUCCAAAAUUUAUUGUAUUUAUACCAAUUUAAUUCUAAAUUUUUAACAUAGUGUCAAUUUUUUUCUUCCAGUCAUUUUUGGCUAGAUUUUGUUGACGUGGACACUAGUUGGCUUACCGUCAGUGCUUAUAUGGAUAACUUCUGAUAAUAUUUUAAUGUUUUUUUCGAUUUUUUUCUUUUUUUUUUUAUUUUUCUUUUUCCUUUUUUUUAAUCCCUUCCUUCUUCCUCCAACUGGUCGCUUGGCAAUUGGCUUGAGGAGGAGAUCGGCUCAAGGAAGAAGGAAGUUAAGGAAAAGAAAAGAAAAAAGAAAGAAAAGAAAAAACUACAAAAAAUUUGAAAAAAUAUUAAAAUAUCAUUAAAGUUGUCAACAUGAGCGCUAGUUGUGUCACCUAAAUUAGCAAGCGUCCACGUCAAAAUUUUAUGCCAAAAUUAGUUGAAAUGACUGAAUUGACAUUAGGUCAAAAGAUUUAAAACUAAAUUGGUAUUAAUAAAAAGUUUAUGACUAAAUUAGUAACAACACAAUAGGUUUAUGACAUAAACUUUUUCAACAAUUUUUCCUAAGGUCAAUACUACAUGUUGCUGGAAUUAAUGUAGUCACUACGUCACCAUUUUGAAUUUUGCAGCUACGUAGGCUCUUAUUGGUAAAGUUACAACGCAAGUAUUACUCUUGCAAGUAAUGAAUAAAAUAAUGUAAACAUUGUCACACCCUGAUCCUACACAUACAGGGGAAUGAUAUGGCCGUACUCCUGCCUAAAGAAUGUAGCUUUAACGAUAAACCAACAUAAACCUGCUAUCAAAAUAUAUAUUUAUCUAAAUAUCUGAUAAAACAAGAAAUUGAUUAUAGAAUUAGAAUUCUCAAAUCCACCAAAAAUAAUAGAUAUACUUUGUCGAACUAAAAACUAAACCAAAUCAAAUGUCAUUUUAGACAUAUCCAAGAUCUAAACUCUUACCCAUAAUUCAACUACCAAAUAGCUAUUUGUUGACAUCGCUCUCAUCCUACUUGACACUAGCUGAAAAAAUGAAAAAAAAAUUAGAAAGAAUAGAGUAAACAAUUACAACUCGGUGAGUAGUACAUAUCUUUUAUAAGUAGAUCAAGCACUAACUAUACAUAUUUAUAAAGCAAUACCAUAAACUCAGUAAUCUCAAAUCUAGUAUAAAAUAUGCAGGUAAUAUGAAAAAUGAGUUAUAAAAUAUGCAUAUAAUAUCACUUCGGUCCCCGAUCGUCCCUCUCUUUCUCCCCGAAGGUUUCAGCAAAAUAAAGAAGAAGAAGAAGAAAAAAGCCUUUUCAGGGCUCAUACGAGCUAAGGAUGGAGUGGACUGAUGGCCUGACUUAAUAGAACUUGAGUUUUGGGCCCUUUUGUUUUUCUUUUUUAUAGCCCAAUUCUUACUGACAACAUAUCAAGAUGGUACCAUUUUCAUUAUUGUGUAGAGUUGUCGUUCACCUAUCGCUCAAAAAAAAAAAAAAAUGUCUUUCACCUAUAUUGUUUGGCUUGGGCUCCAUUCAGUGUUGGCGAUCGCUGUAGUCAUCUUGGAGUUCCAAUGUCAUUCACCUAUUACUUUCCACCUUCCUUGAUCAUAUUGAGAAGAAUGUUCCGGUGUGCUAAGACAUCAAUCCUCGGCGUGUACUUCCUGGUAUGCGAGUAAUACUGCGCAGUUCACCCCUUAUCCGCAUGCAUGGCAAUGUUAUAGUAAAAUGGGCACCGACUGCUGAUGCUUAUUCACUUCAGUAGGGAUAGAGCUAGGGUUGAUGGACCGUUCAAUGUUCCCCAGCACAACGUCCCUCUCAUGCAUGAUCCCCGCCUAGCCAAUGUCUCCCAAAGUUGGCUAAAAUUCCCCUUCAGCAACACUUUUGGACGACAUUGCAGUAAUGUUGCCCCUCAUAACUCCAAUUGCUAUUUGCAUUCUGGCGGUCCAAUUUUUAAGUGGAAUUCUUGGCUGCAAUUGAUCAUAAAGGGGUAGAGUAACAGCCACUCUAAACCUUUCUGGUUCUAGUUCAGUUUGAAACUGUUCUCCUAAAUCUUUAGUAAUAUUCCAUGAUCUUGCUACAGAACAAUCAGUCACACAUCCUCUAUAAGAGUAACUCUAGACCUUUCCACAUCAACCUCUGCCCUAACAUAUUCACGUAGCUUUCGUAUAGGGUCGCAACUCGAAACUCAUCCAGAUAGAAGCUUCAGUUGAUUAUAAUCGUCAACAGUAAAACAAACUUCUCGACUGCGACGGGAGAAACUGAAUGUGCGAAAAUUAAAGCCCAUCCCCUUAUGAUCCACUUCUUCUCUUCUUGACAAGCCAAUUCAGUACACGGAAAGCAUAAAGAACAAAGUCAAAUACAGAGAGACAAGAUUCGGACCUUUGUUUAAUCAUUUGGGAAAUGAAUUGAAUCCGAGAAAAAGCCCACCCAUAAAAGGUUGACUUUUGUCCGAAUAGUGGAAUGUUACAUGACAUAUUUAGAGACAUAUUUAGACAUAACGACAAUGUUUAGAAUUAUAACUCCAAUGUUAAGCAUGCUUUGGAAUGAAAGACCUCCCAAGAAAGUGCCAGAAAAAAUAAGGACACUUGGUUUAGGACGAGUCAAAGUAAACAAUAUCUCAAGUGAGUUAAUCCAAAAUAUAACAUUGGAAAUAAUGUAGUUGUUAUGUCUAACAUUUGAAUUUCAGCUGCCUAGGGGCACAAAUUUACACUUGCUAGGAACAAAUUAUAUGAGAUAGUCAGACUAUAUCAAGAUGGUACCUUUGUUUUUUUCGUAUAGAGCUCACCACCUUAGCUAAUUAGAACUUGGAGUUUUUUUUUUUUUUUGGAAACGAUUAGAACUUGGAGUUUCAAUGCCGUUCACCUGUCAUCGUUUGGUUGGGGCCCACUCAGCGUCGGUGGUCACUGUAGUCAAAGUGAAGCAGAAUUAGCCCAAGGUUCAUUGCAUAUAGCCAUACCAAAUGCUACAGAGUAAUGGGGUCCUGGGCAAAGCCUUAUCCGAUUCUUCAAAAUAUUAAUGCAGCAAUGCCUUUCAAACUCCUAGCCAUUGUCAUAGCGCAAUAAUACUUGCUAAUGAGGGAAAAAUCCAAACGCAAACCAGAGCCCCUUCUGCUAUUGAAGCGAAUACACGCAAGUGGCUUUCGGUCAGUCCCCCGGAAGCCUCGCUUAAUACAUGUGAUCAGUGAUGCAGGGUUUGUGACGCAUGUAAUCGCUCCUGUGUUGGGUUUAUUGACGUGAACUUUUCAAAACUUCAAAACCAAAAAUUUCACUUUGCACUUGUUCUAAGUUUACUAUUUGAUUUGAUGUCAAACUUAACUAAGAUCAACAAUAUUUGAUUCAACCUCUUCUUUAGCUUCUGGACCCGAUCAAUAGUCGGCAACUGACCUAUACUCUUGUGCUCCCUACACUAUAUUAUGUGAAUCCAAUUUUUCAUUUUUUUGACGGAAAAUUGUCGGUAUAUUUGGAUGAUAGGUUAUUGACUUUAUACUGUCAAGAGGUGAUGGGCUCAAAAAAUAUAUGCCCUAUACGUGAUGAGCUGAGCAUGAUAUCCAAGCCUUUGCUAACACCUGCUUAUGUCAUUGAAUGACUAUGAGCUGCUGGAGCUACUGAAGACUUUGGUCAUGAUUCAUGGUACCUCCUAUUUUAGCUAUUUCGGCAUCUCUCCUGUCACUAUGGUCUGUGUUUUUGGUUAAGAAGAAAUUAAACCAAGUAGUUCACUGUAGAGGUGGCAAAAUGGGUCACUUAUUUUUUGAAUAAAUUAGUUAAAUGGAUUUAACAAUUAAAUACUUAAGAUAGGUAGAUCUUAAGUGAAUCUUAAAUGGGUUAGAUUCAAAAUCCAUUUUCAACCAAAACCUCACAAUCUCUCUCUUCCCUCUUUAACUUUCAUAAUUAUUUUUUCUUUUUAAUUUUCUUUUCUUUUUUCUUUCCUUUUCUUUUUUUUUCUUCUUUCUCCUUCCGAUGGCUGGCGACCGGCCAAGCAAGCCUCAAGCUCACCGAAUCUGAAGAGGUGGAGGCCUCGCCAACGUCCGACAAGGCUCAAGCCUCACCGAUCUGGUGAGACUUGAACUCGCCGGCGUCGAGUGAGGGGUGAGCUCGAGCCUCGCCGAUUUGGCGAGCCUCGAGCUCACUGGAUCUGGUGAGGCGAAGGCCUUGUUGACAUGUCUGGCGAGAGGCAAGCUCGAGCCUCGUUGAUCUAGUGAGCCUCCGAGCUCGCNNNNNNNNNNNNNNNNNNNNNNNNNNNNNNNNNNNNNNNNNNNNNNNNNNNNNNNNNNNNNNNNNNNNNNNNNNNNNNNNNNNNNNNNNNNNNNNNNNNNAAAAUUUUGCACUAUAAUAAAUGGGUUAUAAACGGGUUAAAUGGAUCAAUUUGGGUCGGACAAUUUAUGACCCGACCCAAACCCAAGUCGACCCACUCGUUAACGGGUCUGGUUCACUGUCAUUGAAAUGACUAAUGAUCUUUUAAAUUCUCAAUUAAUGACAAAGGUGACAACAACCCAUUGGGAAAAAAAAACAAAAAAACAAGAAACGCGUGUUUCUCAACUAGUGCAUGACCAUUGUAAAAAUAUGAUGCUAAGGCUGCUCACUUGCCGGACAACGACAUCAUCUCGGUCCUGAUAGCUCCACUGGAUCAAGAUGAGAUGCUAAGUCAGUGAGGAUGCUGCAAGAUUGAGGCCUAGUUUGCCAGAUAUCAGCUACCAUCUCCUCUUUUUCACUCUCCCAUCUUUCAUCUAAGCAGCUUCCGUUUAGAAUCUGGACUACCUCCGACAUUGUGGGUCGUUUUGUUGAUGAAUCUUGGAGGCACAAGAGAGCCAGUUUGACUAAUUUCUUAGCCUCAUACUCAUCAUAGUCUCCUCUCAAGCUCGGAUCAAUCAGAGCUCCCAGCUCCUUAUGUUCCAGAAGAUAUUUCACCCGCUCAAAACCAUUCAUUUCUUGAUCCGACAAAUGAACAGGAGGCUUCAAACCAGAGACAAGCUUGAGGAGCACCAUACCAAAUGCGAAGACAUCAUUCUUUGCCGAGAGUUCCCCUCGCAUCAAAUACUCUGGAGGCAUAUAUCCAUAUGUACCACAUAUUCGAUAGGUACUGUAUAACUCUGCUGAUCUUUCCAGAGCCAAAAAGGGCCUCUUGUGGUUGUUUACUGCUUUGGUUUCAGCCAUCUGGUGUGGUGCCCCGGCGCUUUUUGACUUCUGGAUCUGCUGGUUCCAAUCUUUGUGAUUCAUGAAUUUUGCCAAGCCGAAGUCCCCAAUUAGAGGUUCAAAGUUCUCAUCCAACAAAAUGUUCGAAGGCUUUAUAUCGCAGUGAAUUAUCUGAAGACUGCAACCCUCGUGAAGAUACAAGAGCCCUCUCGCUACUCCCAAGGCAAUGUGCAUCCUGGUAGGCCAAUCGAGAGUGGGCUGUAAUGCGGUGCGCUCCUUUAACUGGGAAGCUACACUUCCAUUGACCGCCAAUGGAUAUACCAGCAGGUACUCUACCGGUUCUGUUCUUGUCUUUCCUUUCUUGACAGGUUUUUGUGGUUCCGUUGAAUCGCAAAAGCCUAGUAUUUGGAUCAGAUUCCGGUGCCUGGCCAUACUCCCAACCUCCACUUCAGCAGAGCCAGAUGGUCGGAAACAUCUCUUUAUUGCCACCAGAGAUCCAUCAAGCAAAAUUCCUCUGUAGACCGUACCAAACCCACCUCGGCCCAAAACAUUCUCUUGGCUGAAAUUGCCAGUUGCGACUUCCAGUUCCUGGUACGUAAAUUUUCGAAGCUGCACCUGGGGCUGAAGUAAUUGGAGCUUCGAGUCAUCGGAUGAUGUCUUCGGCCUCCAGCAAGAAACCUCGACGGCAGGGACAGUGAACCCGCAAGAAACGCCUUCAGCGGCUCUGCCUGCGACAGCCAUGGUUCGGGUGAAGCUCUUGCCAAGUGGAAGGCAAACGGUGGACGACGGAGGAGGAGUAGGCGGAACAAACAGAGUGGAAACAUCGACAUCCUCGGUGAGAUCGAUGGUGUAAAAUUUGAAAACCAUCUUUCUGAUGCAAUCAGUGUUGCUGGUAUGUGUCUGUAUGGUUCACGCUCUGAAAGGGUGGAAGAUUUGAUUUAAAUGGAGCCUAUGGCCCCGGUUUCACGUCAACUGGGUUGUUUCUCGGUAACAUCCUGGAAGGUACCUGCUGCUGAACUUAUUAGCCCCGGAAGCAUCCCUGCAAUUUUCCUUUUCUCCGUGUUGUAGCAAAGUCAAACCAAAUCCUGUUGCAACUUAACGUGCAACGGUGAGGGGUGCGAGACGACGACGCUUACGCUUCGUCUGGUCCCACUAGUAGGGAGACCCGCCGUCGGGUCAAAAUCAUUUCCUAAAUCGAUUUAUCUGGAAUAUACGUGUACCGACUCACGAUUGAUUAUUAAUGUUGAUAAUCGUGAAAAAAUCAACAGUAAUUUUUCGAUGUGUGGAUGGAUUUGGGAUUAGAGUGAGUGAUUUCUUUUUAGAUGAAAAAAGUUCAUGAUAGAAUUAAGAUUGGAUUUAAAGUUUGAGAUUUUUUAGGAAAUUAGAUCGUGGGACUAUAUACGUCUUUAAAAAAAAUGAUCAUGUUAACUUGUAUAUAGUUUUUUUUUUUUUUUAAGGAUUCCAUUCAUAGAAAUCAAAUAAGAAGAACUACAAACUCCAUUAUGCCAAUACUUUUUCUCAUGAUAUAUAGAAUAAAACUUGAAAAAUCAUAAAUUCUUGAUCAAUAAACAUCUUCUUCUUCUUUUUUUGACAAAAUUAGAUCAUUCUUUUUUUUAAUAAAAAAUUGACGGCCCAAUGGGGUCUGGUUUUGAAUAAGCAUUAAGUAUUUCAAAAUUAUUUCACUUUAGUUAUAAAAUAUUUUGAAUUUUCAAAAAACAAUGACACAAUAAGUGUCAUAACUUCCAUAUGACCCUCACUUGAAUGUUACAAUUUUUUUCAACCAAUUAAUUAUCAUAACUUCUAAAAAACAUUUACUUGAGUGUCAUAACUUUGAUCGAUCACUUAAAUUUGAAAUUUUUUUAUAAAUGUUUAUCCAAGUGUUAGAAAUCCAACAUAAUAUAACAUUUUAUGGGGAAUGUUUUUAAAAAGUCAUAUGACACUUAAAUCAUUAGAAAAAAGGUCAUGGCACUGGAGUUAUAAAAAAAUUAUCACAAUGGGAAAAUGUCACAAAUGGUCCAUGAACUUUCAUCUAAUAUACAAUUUUUUUUCAACCAAUUAAUUAUCAUAACUUCUAAAAAAACAUUUACUUGAGUGUCAUAACUUUGAUUGAUCACUUAAAUAUGAGCUUUCGAUUUGCUCAAUUUGGUCCAUAAACUUUUAUCUAAUGUUUAAUUUCAUCCAUGAGCUUUCGAUUUGCUCACUUUGGUCCAUGAACUUUCAUCUAAUGUUCCAUCUAGUUCCUAACUAUUUGAAAAUUGACCAAUAUCCAUUUUUUUUAAUACCAAAUUGUUUUUUUAUAAAUAAAUAAGAUACCAAACUGGUUUUUUUUUUUUGGUUGAAAAAAUGCCACAUUUACACAAAGUAAUAAAGGUCAAUAUUUCUUUCCUUUCUCCAUAUUAAAGACAAAUGGAAAAAUGAAUAGUAAUAAUAAACAAAUAUGAAUAUUGCAUUUUGAUUUCUUUUUUGUACAUGCAAAUUACUUGAAAAAUAUACAAAAGUCCAUCAAUCGAUUUUUCCCUUUUCGGUGAAGUCCAUAAAAAAAAAAUCGAUCGAUGGGCUUUUGUACAUUAUUCAAGUAAUUUGCAUAUACAAAAAAGAAAUUAAAAUGCAAGAUUCACCUUUAUUUAUUAUUACUAUCCAUUUUUCAAUUUUUUUUUAAUAUGGAGAAGGAAAAAAAUAUUGACAUUUAUUACUUUGCAUAAAUGUGGUAUUUUUUCAACAAAAAAAACCCAAUUUGGUAUUUUUUUUAUUUAUAAAAAAACAGUUUGGUAUUAAAAAAAGGAAAUUGAAUAAUUUUCAAAUAAUUAGGGAUUAGAUGAAACAUUAGAUGAAAGUUUAGGGACUAAAUUGAAAAAAUCGAAAACUUAGAAAUAAAAUUGAAUAUUAAAUGAAAGUUCAUGUACCAUUUGUGACAUUUUCCCAUUCACAAUCAAGUGAGGGCUGGUAUGGCACCGUGAUGCCUUUUUCCUGAAUUUUCAAUCAACAAAAAAAGAAAAAGUUAAUUUACUCGUAACUUCCGAAGCAACUCUCGCCCCUGCAACUGAAACUCUCCCACCAUCUCCUGGAAGUGAGAAGCUUUCUUCCGUCUCCUUCCUCUAUCGCGCAUUUCGCAAUUCUAAUGCAUUCGAGCUUUCGAAGGAUCGCCUCCUCCGACGUCCACCUCUCCCUGACCCGCCGCCACCGCGUCAUCUGCAGGCCCAUCUCUACUUCAUCGCCGCCCCAGGACCCCACAGAGCCCUUAACGCAGCCGCAGCUCAAAACCCUCGUCCUCAGCCGCUACACCAAGAAUGGCAAGUUCUCCGGCCUCGCCCGCCACGUCCUGGCUUCGCCCUCUGUCCUCCUCGCCGCCCCAAGCCUUCCCGAGGCGGCUCCCCUGCCUCCGCCUCCUUCUUCUUUACUCAAGUCGGUGUCGAGGCGCUUCUCGCUCUCCGAAAUGGGCUGCGAGAUCACCGAGGGCCAGUUCGACUCGCGGCGUGCUGCGUCGCGAUGGCGCCCUCGAGCAAGAAAGGUGAGCCCCUGCUCCUGCCCGGCUUGAAACUGAAGGUCUUGAUCGAUGCCCUCAGGAUGGUUCCGGAGGUCGUAUAUAACGAGAGGUUCGCGACUUUCGCUUACGGCAGGCAGGUCGGCAUGGGGCGCCACACGGCUGUGCGAUACUUGAAAACCUCUCUGCAGAAUCCCAGCUGGUGGUUCACUGUGAAAUUCGACAGACAGAAGUUUGACUGUGCACAUGCGAGCAAACUGUGUAAGGUCAUUGAAGAGAAAAUCGACGAUUCUCUUUUCAUUGAUUUGAUAAGGAGGCUGUUUGAGUGCCAAGCCGUGAGCAUUGAAUUGGGCGGGUGUUAUUUGGAGAGAGGGUUUCCUCGAGAGCGGCUUGUAUGCAAUUUUGAUUAACAUAUACUUCAAUGGACUCGACAAGGAAAUUCAGGAUUCGCCAAACCCGAAUGUGCAUGUCCAGACAAGCGUCAUGAUUAUAAUAGUUUACAAAAACCUUAUGAACACAUAGGUUAUCUUUAUCAAUUAAUCGAGCAGUCUGUCAUCAGUAACAAGCAUCAAACACCACAAAUCUUCACGAAAGAUGUGAAAUAUGCAUACGUCAAAAUAUGCAGACAAUGACAGCGACUUUAAUUGGGUCACUCUACACUAAAGUUAUAAGCGUUCCCUUCAGGGCGUCUCCAUGGUGACCUCUCUGUACACGCUAUAGCUAAUUUAACCAACUUCAGCAUCUCUUCUUCCACGUACUUCCCUUGCAAAGAGCGGUCAAUUAGCACAUCCAGAUUCCUUUCAUCAAAAGCACUUUUCACCCAUUCGAACACAUUACAGUCAUUGGCAAUCGAGCCAGAUCCAAAAUGCUCCUUCCCGUUAUCACUUUGAGAAGCAUGACCCCAUAUGCAUAUACAUCAGUCUUUGUCGAACAUAUCCCAGUGAUGAAGUACUCAGGAUCCACAUGCCCAUGUGUUCCAGCCACAUUACUUUCGACGCAAAUUUCUUCAUAGUCCAUCAACACUGCCAGUCCAAAAUCUGAGAGAGCCACUCGGUAUUUCUCAUCCAACAGAACAUUCGAAGCUUUAAUAUCUCGAUGGAUGAUCUUGGGAUCGCAGUCUUCAUGCAAGUAAGCAAGUGCCUUGGCAACUCUGGUCGCAACACUUAUCCUUACUGACCAUUCUAGGGAGGUCCCUAAAGAUUUGACAGAGAUGAUCUCAAGUGAUUUGCUACGCUUCCACGAGGCAUAACGGAUAAACUAGAAAUAGUUCUGUAGGUAUGAUGCAAAACCCAAGCAGACUGAGCACGUUGCGGUGCUUGACUAUGCUGCUCACUUUCAGUUCCGUCAGGAGCAAUCUCUUGACAGCUACUAGAGAACCGGCCACUAAGCUUCCCUUAUAAACCGUGGAAAAUCCGCUCUCACCCAGAACACGGGCAAAAUUGUUUGUCGUAAGUUGUACCUCACGUAGAGAAAACCUCCUGACUAGUCCUAGGUGUCUUUCCAAAUCCUCUUCAGAAGGCAUACAAUUACUUGAAGAAUCCCCCGGUUGCCUCUUCAAGACUCGCGGCCACCAUGGAAGCUGGCUUGGUAGGGCUGGGCAUGAAGAAACGGAGGGAGCUGCCUCUCCUUUCACGAUAGACCUUACAAAAUUGCACCUUGAUUUGCCAAAGGAUAGUGAUGAAGGAGGACUCGCUGGCGGCGACGAACCUGGGCGGGUAUUGAACAUGUCCUCUAUGUAACUGGAGCUUAGCGUUGGAAUAAUUAAAUAUUAAACAACGCUUUCGUCUAACAGUUUAAACUUUUAGAACAGUUAACAGUAGUCUGACAAAAUCUCAGAUGAUAUCAAAGCUAGAUGUUUUGAGUUCAAAUUUUUUAAGAUCCCAUUUACCACCCCAAUUAAAUAUGUCCACACUUAGUCCUAGUUAAAAAGAUCAGACUAAGUGUGAGGAAGUGUUGAAAUAAUUAAAUAUUAAACCACACUUUUGGAAUAAUUAAGUAUUAAAUCAAGCUUUCGUCUAACAGCUUGAACAGUCGGUAGUAGUCCCACAAAAUCUCACACUUAGUUUGAACGCCAUUUGAAACCUAGAUAGAUGAGAGUCACUUCCGACUUCUCAAAGCUUUGAUGCAAGAAGCGCUUGAACUUGGUGGGAAAAGAUUACAAGAAUGAGAAAUGAGGUAGUUGUGUCGAAGUCUUUGAUCUAUCAUUCCAGGCUGAACUGAGGGAAUUACAAGUGGGCAUGGCCACGGAUAAUCUGUGGAGCCGCCGCAUUUCGGUUUGACUCUUUUUGGCGAAUUUUUCUAAGUAGAGACGUCACAGCACAAUAGACACCAUUUUUUAUCGAAAUGGUUGAAAGACUUUGAGCCGAUAACCUUGACCAGCCUGAUUAAUCAAAAGUUGUGGUUUGAACUUGGAAGAGGUUGAACUUUUAUAAUUCCCAUUUAUUCACUCGACUCAGAUUCUGGAAUUACUCCACAAUCGACUGUAAUCUCAAUAAACUCCGUGAAACAGCGGCCAAAGGGCAUAAAGUGAAGGGAGUCUGUGGACAGACUUGUGACCACUCCAGCCGGAGACUCCAGCUGAGAUCAAUCCUCUCGUGGCUCUGAUGGGUCCAGUGAUAGAUGGCAUUUAGGGAAACCCACCAGAGCCGAUAAUCAUGCUCUGGUCACGCGGACAUGAUUUGUCCAAAAGAUGUCAUAGUUUUUAUUGAUACACUUAUGUUAUGAACUCGUUAUGAUUGGCAUUUGUAAGGGCCCUCGCAAGUGAAGGUUCGUCCCAAUUCUGAAUCUGCUAUUUCUUUUGAAUACUAGUGUUGCUUGCUAUUUCUUUUGAAUACUAGUGUUGCUUGUUUUUGGCCUGAAGGCUAGAGCCAGAUGAAGAAUUGGCUCGGCCGCAAAUACAGUUCUGCUCAUACAAUUGGCAAAUUCUUAAUCUACACAAACUCAAAAAGACAGUUAUCUAAGGGUAGCUACGAUCGGACACUUUCUGUCUUAGGCGCAUGCUAUAUGCUGUGAAAGUUAUCAAGAAGCGGAAGACUGAUAGGCACAGACCAGUGCUGAUUAAUUCUUGCAUUUCUUUGACACUGCUACAUUGUCUGGUUGACUGUCACUGACGCCAUUAUGAGGUAGAUGCCCGAAGGGAGCUUGCGUUCUGUGAACCUGAUGGUCGGGUAAGAGAACAUUUGAGUUUCGUUGUACUCAUGCCAGAAACAUCUGGAGCAGAAGCUUUUUUUCAGAUUAACUUUAAUAGGCAUUUCAAGGAAGCAAAAGAAGAAUCGGACACCAUGAAGUCCUUAAUGUUCUGCCAUCUGAGAACAUUAAAGACAACUUGGUCGGGAAACUGAUUUAUAAUUUGCCUUUGCCUUUCCCUACAUUAGAUAUAAAAAAAAUACGUAAACCAGAUGAAAACGAAACGAAGUUGUUUGUAGCUGUCGAAUUAUAAAGUUCAUUACAUGAAGAAAGUGUUUGCUCUGGUCUGGCACUACAACACUUGUGACAACAGAGGUUUCCUCUCUUACAUUAGAAAACAUAAAACUAGAUGGCCAUCUGUGGAAAUCUUCCCCUUCCUGGAAUGGAACUUGGGAGAACAGCAGAUGCUCUUCAGAAAGUUCUAUCUUCUUGAGUCAUCCACCUAAGUGUCCUUCAGGAACUCAGAGAUUCACCUAUACCUAACAGAUACAAAAUAUUAAAAAUAAAAAGAUGAGGGGAGUCUGUCAGACAGCCGUGUAACCAUCCCAGGCGCGUAACUCCGACUGAGAACACGAUCCUACUACAGCUCUAAUGGAUCCAAGCAGGACCCAUCAGAGCCGUUAAUCACGCUCUGAUCACACGGUCAUGGUUCAUCCACCAGACUAUGGCUCGUCUUCUUAGGUCUCAAGGACGCAGAGGUAUGGACCUACAGAACAGAUCCUGUUCAAGUAAGGUCGUGACCCCCAUUUGGAUUAUUCUUCGAGCGCACUCUCGAUGUGGGACUUUAGGAGGUCGCACGCAUAAAGUGCACUCAACCCACAACCUCCCUCCCCUGGUUUCUUCUCCUUUUUUUCCCUCUGUUUUCCUGUUUGUCGUCUCGCAACUUAGCUUGGGGCGCUUGUUAGUGUUUUCGUUUGCAGGUCCUUUGCGUUCAACAGAGAAUGCAACUUUUCCUGAAUGUAAAAGUGAACUAUGCUUUGCUGUUGCAGAGCCGAAGAGUCUUGUCAUUUUUAGUAGAGGAGAGAUGCAUUAAAUGGCUGAUAGUCCAUGGCUGUCGAUCUGGCUCGGCAUAAUCCAACACAGUUUUCAAGCCCACUUGAGAGAGAGAGAGAGAGAGAGAGAGAGAGGGAGAGGAUACAAAUUAUUAUUUUUAUGAGACUCACUACGUUUAUCAUCUCCUUUUCAAAUCAACCUUUCUACCAGGUGUCGAAGGAGGAUUGUAGGAGGAGACAUGUCCCUUCCUCCUCCUUUUUUCCCUAUUUUUUUUGCUAUUCCAUUUCUAUCUUAACUUUACUUUUCAAAGUAUCAAUAAGGGAUGAAAAUUAUGAGCCAAAUAUAAAGUUAUUUGUAGAUAUUUUAGUUCUCAAAAGUUCAUAUUUGCAAGCGUGUGUCAUUCUAAAUUACUAUUGAACAAAGAUAUUGACCAAUUGAAUGGAUGAAAUCAAAAUAGUAUCUAUCCAUAUUAAAUUAAAAGUUGAACAAUUCCAUAAUUUCUUGUUUCGUCAGACAUACCUCAAAAUUUGAAAUUAAAACUACUCUUAAUAUACCUUUAUACGAAGUCCUCAACUCCAAGUCUUACAUAAGUCAGCUUUUGGCAAAAAUAAUGGAGGCGGGACUUUUCUUUGUGGAUGAAAAAUGAAAGAAGAAGAGCUGGAGAGAGAGAGAGAGAGAGAGAGAGAGAGAGAUGGCUGUCCCAAGUAUGUCUGGCUUGGUCUUUAUAGUUCCUUGCUUUUCCAUAUAUAAUCAUUAGCUUAAGCCACUUUAUCAAGCAAAAGAGUUGCAGAAGAUAAACAACGUGGUUUGUAGUGUAUUAUAUUAUAUACCUAUGUAAUGGCCUCAGUAUGUCACAACUAACACAUAUACUAAAGUAUUUUCACUUUUUAAGUAUGCAAAAGCAUGUACGGUUAAAGUACACUCAAGACAUAUAAAAAUUCGAAGGAACACACACGGGGAUGCAAACCCAACAAUCUCAUUUCAUUUCUUAUUUAUAUAUGUUUUAGGUGAUAAGGUCAAGGUACACCGGGGGACGAGCCAAAAUACCACUACUUUGUACCAUACCCAAAAGCUCUAGUAGAUGUACCAUCCCGACCUAGAUACUAUGUAUGUACCAUGUCAUCUGUCUCCCACCCACAAUACGUCCAAAAUAUUGGCCCAGUCUUCCCAAAAUGCUACUGAUUUGAGAAUAAUGAUCAACUACGAGUGAGUACAAAGCUCAACAAGCAAACUAUUAAUCAGUCUAUACCACAUAAGCUAGUAAUAGCACAAGCGAGGAAGUUUAAUAUACAAGACAAAAUAUCAUUAUGAUAUCAACUUACCUAAAAACUUUUUUUUUAAAAUCAGGAUAGCAAAUAGAAAACAUUUCCUCUGAAAACAGUAAUCCAGUAAAACUUGAAUAAAAUCUAAAAAUGCCAAUGAUCAUCUUUAUUAUGAAUUAGCUGCCACCCUCUUCUAGGGAACCCCAUUACCUCCCAAACAUCUUGCACUCAUCCAAUAUCGCGAGGACAUCUGAGGGAACCGUAUUACAUCCACUAGGCAUCCAAAGGAAUCCAGUUACCUCUCCAACCAUCCCCAUUACAACCCGGGGCAUCGUCGUCUCAAGGACCGACAAUAUUCCCAAAUCACACACUUAUCCCAUGGUGUAGCAAUUCAAUAAUUCAAUUUAACAUGCCAUCCACCAAACUAAUGCACAAGAAUCAAAUUGAUUUCAAAAUCCUUUGUCCAUUUGUAAAUCAAAGAAAUGGUACAAAACAGUUUGUCCGCGAUGCUAGUUCAAUAAGGUUAUGAAAGGAGUUUAUUCAAAAUCUCAAAAUUGAUGGUAAAAGGGGCAAAUCACAAGGAAUCACCAAGUAAAUUAGUUUCAAAAAUUACAAAACUUUAGCAUGAUGUGGAGGAGACUCUAAGGAACGUUUUUCCUGAAUAACUCAAAACCUAGUUCAGCUUGUACAUGUCUCAAUAAUUUUAUAUAACUUGGGUCAAAACAGGGUAAAUUUUCAUGAUAAAACAACCAAAAUUGGGCGUUUUGAAAGCAUAAAUGAGUUCCAAAAAUCACGGGAAAAUUACAUGUUAUAUUUGAAUAUGUGGUCUAAAAUUUCAUGAAGAAAAUUUGUCGAAAACUCUGUGGAAAAUAAAAAUCGAGUAAAGGUCAAUAAAAAUCCGAGAAAACAGUUUCAAACUCGAUUCAGUUUUUCAAAUAUACUUUGAACAUAUGAAGUCCAAAAAAUCUGAAAUUAAAGUAUGCUAUAGAACAAAGUAUAAUAAGCGGCUUUCGCAAGAAAGCCUCACAAAAUUCGUACAAGAAAAACCAGUAUAAAAUUGGAAAAGUACGGUCUAUAGUGAACUGAACCAAAAAUAGCUGUAUCCUCGGAUUUGUCCAUAACUCAUGCUAUUUAAGCUCAAACCAGCACAAAUCUCAACAUCCAAUAUGUCAACAACACAUUAGUGAGCUCAAUAAACCAUAAUUUCAACAAUGCUCGCAAUGUACAUUUUUUGAAAUCGCUGACUAACACGACUAUGUACAAAAUCAACCAAGACGAUUAAAAUCUAAGGUAAUCGACCUCAACAUGUGGCAAUCAACCUACAUAGCACAAGAAGGAAGGCAGUUUACUUGCCUCAAGUCCCUAGAAAUGUCUUGUGUUAGUUAGCAAGGUUGCGACAACUUGAGUUACGGUUGCUCCUCUGGCAGUUUGAGACUGUCACACCCCAAAACUACAAGGAAUGGGGAUGACAUAGCCAACCUUCCAUGAAUUAUAUAUAUAUCUCAAGCUAUAUAUAUACAUAUCAGAUAACUAACAAAUUUCUUGCUACAUUAGAGUUUCUAUAAUUCACCAAAAAGAAAUAUACAUUUAGAACUCAACCAGUCCAACCACUAGCGAAGAUUAUGCACACUACUUUCUUAAACCAUACCCAAAAUAGAAUUCCCAAAAGUUUUCCAAAAGCACUCUCAUCCUACUAGUUGCUAACCCUAGGACCUAAAAACAUGGAAGAUGAAUGGAAUGAGCAACCAUAACUCAGUGAGUAGUAUAUACCAUAAAAGCAUAUCAAACUUCCGCAUUCCACAUUUAAAACUCAAGACAUGACUCAUUAUUGCCAAACAAAAUAUGAUAACUUGCAUGAACAAAAUGUGUUAAAUGUUACCUUAACCUAGCUAUAUCAAAUAGCCAAAUUUUCCAUUCAUCCAUAAUAACAAAACUAGCAUGGACUCAUCCUAUCUCAUAUCAAUAGUUCAUUCCACACUCAAUAUCCAAACUCACGGCCCUAAAGGUGACUCUCACGAAAUUGCGUUAUCGUGUAACACUUAGCCCUUGACCACAUAUAGCAAUAGUACAAGGCCCUAGAGGUAGCUUCCACGAAAUUACGUUAUCGUGUAGCACUUAGUCAUUUACUAUGCAUGUCAAUAGUACAAGGCCCUAACUCCGAAACUACUCCGAUUGGAAGGACGAAAGGUGCGAUAACUUACCGGACUUUGUAAAUAAGCUUGGUGAGCUACCUACGGCGUGAACAUACAAAGCCCUCUCUCUUCUUUCUUCUUCUUCUUCUUUCCUCUUUUCUUUUGCUGCCUGAACGCGGUCUUUCCUUUCCUUUUUAUCUCUUCUCCUUUUUGUUUUCUUUUUAUUUCUUUAUUUAAAGUGGGUCCCACUUCCUUUUCUUUGACUUUUUAAAAAAUCUCUAAUAUUACAUUCUACCCUCUUUACAAAAAUUUCAUCAUCGAAAUUUAUAUGUACUUCAAUCAUGAAACAAGUGAGGGUAUUUGCGUCUUGCCUCCUCCUCAAGUUCCCAAGUAGCCUCUCUCUUGGUGUGAUUUUGCCAUUGUAUUUUCACAUAAUGAAUAGUUCGUCAAUGCAGCACCUAAUCCUUCUUAUCAACAAUGUGAAUAAGCUGCUCCUCAUAUGUCAAGUUCUCCUGUAAUCUCAAUGGGGUAAAAUCUAGUACAUGUUCAGGAUUUGGCACAUAUUUUCGCAAUAAAGAAACAUGGAACACAUUAUGGACACCUGAUAACGCCGAUGGUAAAGCCAAUUUAUAAGCAACUUCACCAAUCUUCUCUAAGAUCAAGAACGGUCCCACGUACCUUGGACUUAACUUCCCACGUGUGUCAAAUCUCAAUACAUCCUUCGUAGGAGAAAAUUUUAAGAAUACGUGAUUCCUUACACUAAAUUCUAACUUGCGUCUUUUAAGAUCCACAUAACUUUUCUGACGACUUUGAGCCGUUCUGAGACGUUCCCGAAUUAGCCUAACUUUCUCUUAUGACUGUUGAAUGAACUCAUGAACUCAAGGCCAGUUAGUCUUUUCUCACCAACAUCAUCCCAACAAAUAGGACUUUUGCAUUUUCGGCCAUAUAAAGCUUCAAAGGGUGCCAUUUUAAUGCUAGAGUGAUAACUGUUGUUAUAAGAAAAUUCUGCCAAAUGUAGAUGUUCAUCCCAAGAACCGCCAAAGUCAAUGAUGCAUGAUCUCAACAUAUCCUCUAAUGUCUGGAUCGUUCUCUCUGACUGUCCAUCUGUUUGUGGAUGAAAAGCUGUACUCAAGUUGAGUUUAGUGCCCAAUGCUCCUUGCAAACUCUUCCAAAAGUUAGACACGAAUUUGGGAUCCCUGUCAGAAACAAUGCUUAAUGGAACUCCAUGAAGCUUCACUAUGUCAUUAACAUAUCGCUUUGCCAUAUCUUCCAUUGAAAGGGGAAAUCGAUAUGACAAAAAGUGAGCGGACUUAGUCAAUCGGUCAACAAUCACCCAUAUAGCAUUCUUACCACUUGGCGUGCUCGGUAGACCAACUACAAAGUCCAUGGUGAUAUGUUCCCACUUCCAUUUAGAUACUUCUAGAGGUUGUAACUGUCCACCUAGUUUCUGAUGCUCAAUUUUCACUUACUGGCAAACUAGACAUUGAUCGACAAAUUUUACAAUAUCAUUUUUCAUGUUGACCCACCAAAAUUUUUCUCUCAAGUCUCUAUACAUUUUAGUGCUUCCAGGAUGAAUUGAAAAUCUAGUGUUGUGAGCUUCCUACAUGAUUUCCUUUUUCAGCUUUGAGUCCUCCGGAACACAUAGUCGACCACAAAACCUCAAGGAUCCAUCUAUGUGUAAACUAAAAUCCGCUUGUCUUCCAACUUCCAUACCUUCUCUAAAUUUUUGUAAUUGUAGAUCUUCAUUCUGUUUAGCCUUAAUUAUGUCAAUCAACAUCGGUUGUACUUAAAAAGGUUAGCUAACUGAGCACCAAGCUAAUGUACCAAUACUUCCAAGUCUAAUUUCCGCAUAUCUUCAAGGAUGGGUUUCUAAGAAGUGAGCAAAGUUGCCAUGUUUCCAAAGGAUUUACGACUCAAAGCAUCUGCUACGACAUUAGCCUUACCCGGAUGGUAAUUAAUGGACAAGUCAUAAUCCUUCAAAAGUUCUAGCCAUCUUCUUUGCUCAUGUUCAGUUCUUUUUUAGUAAAGAUAUAAUUUAGAUUCUUGUGAUCGGUAAAGACUUCACAUUUUUCACCAUACAAAUAAUGCCGUCAUAUCUUCAAGGCAAAUACAACUGCCACUAACUCCAAAUCAUGAGUGGGGUAGUUCUUCUCAUAUAAUUUCAAUUACUUAGAAUAGGCAACAACUUUGCCAUCUUGCAUAAGAACACAACUAAACCUUCUUUGGAUGCGUCGCAGUAGAUUACGAAGCCGCUACUUAUUGAAGGUAGAGUUAGAAUAGGAGCUGACACCAGCUGUCUCUUCAACUCUUGAAAACUGCGCUCACAUUGGUCUGACCAUUCAAAUUUAACUCUCUUUCGAGUUAGACGAGUAAGUGGACCAGCAAUCCUUGAGAAUCCCUCUACAAAUCGCCUAUAGUAGCCGGCUAGCCUAAGGAAAUUUCUCACUUCUGUAACAUUAGUUGGGCGAUUCCACUUAACAACUGGUUCAACCUUCUUUAGAUCCACUAAUAUGCCAUCCUUCGAGAUCACAUGACCCAAGAAUUCUAUAUGAUCAAGCUAGAAAUCACACUUACUAAAUUUGGCAUACAACUUCUUUUCAUGCAAAGUCUGCAAGACAAGUCUCAAAUGUUGUUCGUGUUCCUCUAACUCUUCGAAUACACUCGGAUGUCAUCAAUGAAUACCACAACAAAUUUGUCUAGAUAUUCCCUGAACACCCUAUUCAUCAAGUCCAUGAAGGCAGCAGGCGCAUUUGUUAAUCCAAAAGGCAUGACAAGAAAUUCAUAAUGGCCAUACCUUGUUCUGAAAGCAGUUUUAGGCACAUAAUCUACUUUUAUCUUCAACUGAUGAUAUCCAGAACGAAGGUCAAUCUUGGAGAAUACCUAAGCUCCCUGAAGUUGAUUAAAUAAAUCAUCAAUCUGGGGCAAAGGACAUCUGUUUUUUACCGUUACCUUAUUAAGCUCUCGGUAAUCUAUGCAAAGCCGCAUACUACCAUCUUUCUUUUUCACAAAUAGAAUAAGAGCUCCCUAAGGCGAAACACUGGAUCUGAUGAAACCCUUAUCCAAAAGAUCUUGUAGCUGCAUUUUCAAUUCUUUCAAUUCGGCGGGUGCCAUCCGAUAUGGUGCCUUAGAGAUUGGUGUUGAACCGGGCAUUAAUUCAAUACAAAACUCCAUUUCUCUAUUAGGAGGCAAACCUGGUAAAUCUUCGCUUGUAAAGCUGAGAUCAACAUUGGAAAAGUGUCUUGACAACCUCCUGAAAAAGAGAAUUCGGGUUGAUUUGGAAGUCUAAAGAUCACUUUCUUUGAAAAAUAGUCAACAGUAGCACGAUAUGUAGAUAACCAAUCCAUCCCUAUAAUAACAUUGAAAUCUCGAAUAUUUAACACCACUAGAUCCACAGGCAUUUCAACAUUAUUAAUCCAAAGCAUAUAUCUUUUGAACACAUGAUGAGCAACUAAGAAAUCACCAGUAGGAGUAUCAACAUGCAAUUCACACUCAAGAGGUUCAGGUAACACGUCAAGCUUCUUUGCAAAUUCAGUUAAAGUGAAUGAAUGCGUAGCACCGGAAUCAAAUAACGCAUAAGCACGUUGUGAGGUAAUAGAAAUAUAACUUGCAACAACUGCGUUAGACGCCUCCGCAUCCUCCUUUGUCAUCACAAAAACUUUCCCACUUGCAUUCUGUUUUUGUGGGUUCCCUUGGGACCUACCAAUGGAAGGAGCAUUCCUCCACAUAGAACAAUUGCGUGCGAUGUGUCCUGAUUGUCCACACAUAUAACAUAUCCUACCAUCCGUAGGAAUAUUCCUCUUCGUGGGGCAAUCACGUGCCAUGUGUUCCAUUUUUCUGCAAACAAAACAUGCUCCUAAUUUACGAUAACAAUGACUGCCAUGAAGUUUUCCACAAGUAGCACAAGGGCUUUGACCACUUUCAUUUCAAGACCUACCUAGCUGAUUGAAAUCUCUUUGCUUCCCGCUAUCACUAGUACGAUUGUCCUGGUAAUUGGUGGGCUUAAAUCUCUUGUGUUGAAGUGCUCCUUGUGUGCCACGCUCCAAAAUGUCUUGCUCGACCCUAAUUGCUCAAUUCAAAACAUCUUUGUAUGUUGUUAGUUCAAAUGGUAUGAGUAUAGUACGAAUAUCCGGUCGGAGCUCACGCUGAAAGUGGUCACCCCUACGCCUUUCAUUAGCCGCAAAACCAUCCUCAAAUUAACUUAACCGAUUAAAGCGGGUCGCAUACUCCAUAACUGUUAAGCUACCUUGAGAUAUAUUGACAAAGUCGCUUCUCAUCUUCGCUUGAAAAGAUUCUGGAAAGAAUUGGGCGUUAAAAGCCUUAGUGAAGUCCUUCCAUGAAAUGAUUGCAUCAUUAUCUCCAAGAGCCGAUCUAGUUCCUUCCCACCAGCCAAUAGCUUCGCCUUCUAAGCAUCGAGUGGCAAAGUUGAUUUUUUGGUCAUCACGAACAUUCUCGGCUCUAAAAACCUCCUCCAUGUUUCUAAUCCAAUCAUCAGUCUUGAGAGGAUCUAACUUCCCAUCAAACUUAGGUGGAUCCGCCUUUUGGAAUUGGGCAAAGGUGCAUGAGCCAGCUACUCCACCUUCACUUAAUUCUUUCGCUUGACGAUACCAGUGGAUCAUCGCCUGCAUGAACUUAGUCAGAGGAAUCAGCUCUUGGGGCUCUUCCCUAGUUUCAUCCAAAUCAGGACUCCCAUCAAAUCGGUCCUCUAGUCUCCUCCUUAAAGUUGCCCCUUAAAAAGCUUGAGGCUUAUCUCUAGUAUUAAGAGUAGCGACUCGCUUGCCUUUGUUGUUUUUACGAAGCGAGGCAAAUGUCUCUGAAUCGAUACGCAUGAUCACCUAGACUCAAGAAUAAGAUCACACCUUAGUAUCAAAAAGGUCAGCACAUUAAAACCUAUCAUGACAUCUCUCAACACCCCAUAUCUCUACUUAGAAAGAUAAAAACUUUGGCUCUGAUACCAAAAGAUGUCACACCCCAAAACUACAAGGAUCGAAGAUGACAUGGGCAACCUUCCAUGAAUUAUAUAUAUCUCAAGCUAUAUAUAUACAUAACAGAUAACUAACAAAUUUGUUGCAACAUUAGAGUUUCUAUAAUCCACCAAAAAGAAAUGUACAUUUAGAACUCAACCAGUCCAACCACUAGCGAAGAUUAUGUACACUAUUUUCUUAAACCAUACCCAAAAUAGAAUUCCCAAAAGUUUUCCAAAAGCGCUCUCGUCCUACUAGUUGCUAACCCUGGGACCUGAAAACAUGGAAGAUGAAUGGAAUGAGCAACCAUAGCUUAGUGAGUAGUACAUACCAUAAAAGCAUAUCAAACUUUCACAUUACACAUUUAAAACUCAAGACAUGACUCAUUAUUGCCAAACAAAAUAUGAUAACUUGCAUGAACAAAAUGUGUUAAAUGUUACCUCAACCUAGCUAUAUCAAAUAGCCAAAUUUUCCAUUCAUCUAUAAUAACAAAACUAGCAUGGACUCAUCCUAUCUCAUAUCAAUGGUUCAUUCCACGCUUAAUAUCCAAACUCAAGGCCCUAGAGGUGACUCCCACGAAAUUGCGUUAUCGUGUAGCACUUAGCCCUUGACCAUAUAUAGCAAUAGUACAAGGCCCUAGAGGUGUUUCCCACAAAAUUACGUUAUCGUGUAGCACUUAGUCAUUUACUAUGCAUGUCAAUAAUACAAGGCCCUAACUCCAAAACUACUCCGAUUGGAAGGAUGAAAGGUGUGAUAACUUACCGGACUUUGUAAAUAAGCUUGGUGAGCUACCUACGACGUGAACAUACAAAGUCCUCUCUCUUCUUUCUUCUUCUUCUUCUUCUUCUUCUUUAUUUCUUCUUCUUUCCUCUUUUCUUUUGCUGCCCGAAUGUGGUCUUUCUUUUCCUUUUUAUCUCUUCUCCUUUUUUUUCUUUAUUUAAAGUGGGUCCGACCACCUUUUCUUUGACUUUUUCAAAAAUCUCUAAUAUUACAAAGACAAACCGAGAAACAUGAACAGGAACAUCGCUGGCUAGUUGGUUGGUUGAACGAGGGCACGUCGCCGGCGAAGGUGGCGGUGAGUCGUGGUGUUGUGUGGCCAAGGGACUGAACGAAAAGGGCGGGAUGUGAACGUGUCUGGGUGUUGCCGAAGGAUGAAUGAAGAAACAUAGGCUGGUUGGAUUUAAAUUUUUGGUUCUUCUCUCUGCUCACCAUCUUUGCAUGGUCAUGGUCAACAUUUUCAUCUCAUGGCUACCCCAUGGAGAAGACAGAUAGAGGGUAACAUGGCUUGGCUGGGCAAAUUUUCAUUUGCCUCUUUCACUGUUUCAUGGGCGUGGUUAACAUUUGAUUGCCACAUUACUCCUACUCGUGGCAGCCCAAGGAGAAGCCAGCUAGGUGAGGUUACAUGGGUUUGGGGCUGAAGACUCAGCAAAAAUUUUGGUGCCUCUCUUGCCAUAGAAGGCAACCAAUUGAAGCGCCAAUUGGAGAAGACUCGGGUAGGCCGAGCGGUGCGGCAACAUGGUGGUGCAGCGGUGACACGAUGAUGAGGUGGCGUGGUGAUGAUGGGGACGAGCUGAGGUGGCAAGUCCUUGCAGUGGUGUGGUCUGAUGACGAGCUCGUUGACAUGACGUGAACCGCUAAGCAUUCAAGACUCGUUAUCCCGUCGAGCGAAAAUCCGGAUGUUGCAACUUAUAUCUCCGACGGCUACACGGGAAGACCCCGUGCAUCUUAACUAUAGUUUCGUAGUGACAACCUUGCUCGAAUGUGUAGGAUAGGUGGGAAGGUGACGUGAACCAUUAAGCAUUCGAGACUCGUUAUCCUGUCGAGCAAAUCCGGAUGUUACAACUUAUAUCUCCAAUGGCUAGGAGGGAAGACCCCAUGCAUCUUAACUAUAGUUUCAUAGUGACAACCUUGCUCAAAUGUGUAGGAUAGGUGGGAGGUGGUGAUGCAUAACGAUCAAUCAUGAAAUAUCACUCUUUCAUCUAAGGAUACCUAAUCAUCAAUUCGAGGAUUCGAGGAUUAUUUGCUUGUGUUAUUUUUUUUGGAAUCCACGUGCGAUUUGUGACACAUGGCUUUUGUUUGUAUUUUUAGCUAGGAAGAAAUUAUAGCAUGUGCUUUACUUUCAUUGAAAUGAAUCAUGAUCUUUUAAAAUCUAAAUUGAUGACAGUGAUGACGACAGCCAUCGACCAAAUUCCAGAGAAAAGGGAAGCGCGUGUUUCUCGACUAGUGCAUGACAGUUGUGCUUGCUUCUAGGACAAAGGCAUCAUCUCAGUCCUGAUAGCUCCUCUAGAUCAAGAUAAGAUGCAGUGUCGGAGAGAGUGUUGCCAGAUUUAUCUCGCAUAUAAGCAAGUAUGUUGUUUUUGAAAGAGCAGAGAAUGAGUUGAUAGCAAAAGCUGUGUAUAUUAUUCAGAAAUUGAAAAAUGCUUAAAUACAUACUAAAACUUAACCAUAAACCCAUGUUGCCCACUAACAGCUUGCUUGGUCCACAAAACCAGCAACAAACUAAUAGAAUAGCUAAAAAGCAUGCAUCUAAUUGCUCUUAUAAGGUAAGAUUGACCAAGUAAAACAACAAUUAACUAACUCCCAGAUAACAAGACAUCAAUNNNNNNNNNNNNNNNNNNNNNNNNNNNNNNNNNNNNNNNNNNNNNNNNNNNNNNNNNNNNNNNNNNNNNNNNNNNNNNNNNNNNNNNNNNNNNNNNNNNNNNNNNNNNNNNNNNNNNNNNNNNNNNNNNNNNNNNNNNNNNNNNNNNNNNNNNNNNNNNNNNNNNNNNNNNNNNNNNNNNNNNNNNNNNNNNNNNNNNNNNNNNNNNNNNNNNNNNNNNNNNNNNNNNUUAAAAUGCUUUGUUCUUCCCAUGAAAUGUUGGAUCUUAUGAAAUGCCUAGAGUAGCUUGAUUAUCCCACAAAUACUUAUAUGUCUUCUUCUUGCUGCAUAUGCAAAUCAUCCAUCAGCUUCUUCAACCAUAAUGCUUGAUUCAUAGCUGCAGUAGCUACAAUGAACUCAGCUUCUGCAGUUGAUUGAGCCACUAUUUCCUGCUUCUUUAACACCAAGAAAAACAUGCAAACCCAAAUGUAAAGCAAUAACCUGAAGUGCUCCUCAUAUCAUCCACCGAUCCUACCUAGUCACUUUCAGAAAACCCCUGCAUCUCAAACUCCCGAACUCUGUAAAACUUAAUCCCAUAUGAAAGAGUAUCUUUUGAAAGUGCGAGUAUGAACACCUAGAGGGGAGUGAAUAGGUGCGAAGAAAAUUUUUCGUGCAUCGUAGUAAAAUAUUUUGCUUCGCAUAUGAGUGUGAAGACCAACAAACUUUUGGAACGAACUCUGUGACACCCCUCGAUGGCCCCCGCCCCGUUAGAGUUACCACUGUAUAGAUUACCAUUCUCUUGCUUGACCCGAAGGUCUAUCAAUCCUGGGGGUUUACAUCUUUUAGAUCGGUCCCUGCGCAAUUUAUAUGGUGGAAGCACAUCCAUCAACUCAUUUCCCUAUAUUCAGAAAAUAAUGCGCACCAACUAAACAUUUAUAGGUAAAAGCCGAACACUUUUAUUUACCUAAACCAGAUGGACAUCAUUCAUCGGUACAUUAAAAUGCCGUAGUCUUCUAUACUCAGUUAUACUUCAAAAGAUGACCGAAAACUUUUUCAACAGUCGUAUACUUAAAGUCCAUCGUUCAGUGUCGGCGUCCAAAAUUUCCUUCCUUUGCUAUCCUCCUCCUCGCGGUCAUAUCCAACCACUCAAUCCAUCCACCGAUAGCAGUGGCAACAGAUGUAUCUUGUCUAGUCUGAAAUGUUAGUCCCCAAACGGGGUGAGUACAGCCAUUCAGCAGUAAAGAUCCAUCAAACUACACAAUGCAACAAGCAAGACGACCACAAUUUCAUGUGAAAUGUACAUAUCAUCCAUGCAAUCAUGCUUAUAUCUCCAUGAGAUGCAUUCAUUAAGGCAAUUCAUGUUCCAUGCCAUAUGCACAUACAUGCGCAUGAUCCAUAUCACCCAUACAAUCAUAUAUAUAUUUUCAUGAGAUACAUUCAAUGCCUUCAUGAUCGCAUUCUCAAUAUCAUAUAGUAUCAACUCAAUUUCAUAGGCAAUUAUAUCCCAUGCUAUAUGCACACACACAUGUGCAUGAUUCAAUUCCCAUUUUGAUAUUCAAAAGGAUCUCAUCUUUCUCCUAGGGACUAGUGUUUGCAUCCCUCAUAUAUCGCUCGCACCCAACCUAGCAUCGCAAGGAACCUCCGGCACACACCUUUGGGCAUUCGGCACACACCUCCGGGCAUCUCGCAUCCCAUCUGGCAUCGUGAGGAAUCGUCGGGGCUCGCCAUGAAAAUGGUUACCCUUGCCUUCCGGAAUUACGUACUGACAUACUACCAAGCAUCCCCUGGAAUUACGUACUGAUAUACCACCGGGCAUCUCGAAACUCCCGAGGACAUCCGGCACACACCUCCGAGUAUCCGUCACACACACUCCAGGCAUCCCGACACUCCUGGGGCAUCGUCGGCUCACACCUCUGACGGUAUCAUUAACAUCACAAUGUAUAUUCACAUAUAUGUCUUACUUUCAACAUAGCAUUUGAUGCAAUAAUGUCAAAGGUCUAAACCAGCUUUUUAAUGUUACAUGACAUGCUAAAUGUUACCACAUAUGCAGUACACAUAACCACCCAAGAUAUCACGUCUCCUAGAGCAAUUCAUUUGUUCUUGAAAUAAAACAAUUUUCAGACAAAAUAGAAUGCACUCCUUUAAUUAAAAUUCUGGAAAAAUUAGUAAACGAUCUCAAUAAAUUCUGAAAAUUUAACAUGUUAUAAACAAGAUCUAGAUAAAAAGGUUUCAUGAAGAACACCAUGUCAAAAGAGCUUCGUACGAGCCGCUACAGUCCAUGCAUUACAGCCUUAAAAUCUCAAACAUCACCAUUGCACAGUUCUGGAAAUAACUUUGAUUAAGUCAUUAAAUGAACUCCUAAAAUUCUGAGAUUUUAAUAUGUUAUAGUUGAGACCUAGAGGUAAAAGUCCCAUUAAUAAAUAGAAGUCUAAUUAAUUCUGGAUUAAAAGAUAUGAUUAUUACAACUCACCCUGACCCUCGGCUCAAUCUCUAGAUUUAAUCCCUUUCAAAGAAAAAUCAUUUCUCGAAUCAAUAAUGGUCCGUUUAUUCUCAAAUUUCAGUAUGUUGUUCCUCAAGAUGUUAUCUACAACUAUUAUCAAGGAUACGAGAUCAAAUUCGGACGGGAUAAUUUCACAAAAUUCACAGAAUCGCAAGGGAUCGACAUAACAGUUUUCCAGAUUCUAGUAUUUUUGAAAAAAAAAGGUUUCACCAACAAAUACUUGUCCGUUUCCCCUCAAAUUUUGAUAUGUUAAUAUUCACGAAGUCCUAUACAACUUUUAUCAAGAACACAAAGUGAGGUUCCGGCUAGAAAAUUGCCUUACAGCUCACGAAAUCACCAAAGGUCAAUAUAACAAUUUCCAGAUCUAGUUUCUUCAAAGAAAAAUCAUUUCACCGACCAAUACUUAUAUUUUUCAUCCCAAAUUUUAGUAUGUUACUCCUUAAGAUGUCAUCUAAAACUUUCAUCAAGAAGUCAAAGUGAGAUUCCAACUAUAAAAUUGCAUGCAGCUCACGAAAUCACCAAAGGUCGGACUGUUUUUCCAGAAAACAGAUUACUAGACUAAGGCACUACUCCUAUAACUUCGAAAAUUCUCACCUCUACCACCUCCGAAAUUCACCAUACAACACAUACAAUCACAGCAAGCAAAGUGUAAAUCAAAGGACUCUACUUGCCUUAGAUCCGACGAAAUCAAGCAAGCAACGGCAACUCGGGGACUUCGAGCACAACACGGUCGACAGCGAAGCUAGGCACAUGCACGGCGGGGCGGUCCUCUUCUCCCUUCGCCGAAGCACCCACACAAACAACCCUCUCUCCCUCGGCUUUUCUCUCUUCCUCUCUUUCUCUAUUUCUCUCCUUCUCUCUCGAAUUCUCCCUCUCUCGCACGAACACUCCCCUUGUGCAAUCCACCCCUUCUCUCUCCCUUUUUCUUCCUUUCACCCUCAUGAUUACUAGUAAUCAUGAGGUUUGCAUGGCAAUGGACACUUGGUAAGUUCCUCUUGCCACUCGUUUCAUCUCCCUCGUCACUUGUUAUUUUUUUCUCAUGCAAAUUGAUGGGCUUUAUUCGGGCCGGGCUUGGGCCAUCCUUUUGGCCGACCAAAUGGGGAGAAAUGGUGGGGGAAUCGGUGGGGCUGUGGGCUGAUUUUUGGGCUGGUUCAGCCUUAAGAAAAAUCAACCCACUCCUUCUCCAAUUUUUCAUAUUUAAUCCCCACUUAUAUAAAUAACUAAUUACAAAAUUAUAUGGCCAUAAAAACUUUGUGACAUAAUUCAAUAAAAAUUCAACUUAUAAAGCGCAUGGCCAAGAAUAAAAAUUUUCCUAUUAAUUUGUCCCUUAGUACAAUCUUUGAUCACUCAUGGACAUAGGAUAUAUUUCCAACCAAGUAAUUGUUCAUUAAAUGCUCGACCUUAAUCCAUUGUAAUUCAUUGAUCUAAUGGCUAUAAUAUAAUCUAAUGGCGCUUCCAUCACCUAUUCAUGGUUCAUGGUAUAUUCAGGGGUUGUUAUGAAAUUUUUAGGAUGCCACAAAGUCUGAAGAACAACAGACUUUAAGCGAGUUCAGACUUUAGCAGUUAAAUAGAAUUAUGAACAAAAUAAAGAAAUUUAGGGAAGAGAAUAAGAACACAGAAUUUAUAGUAGUUCGACUUAGAUCAAGCAUACGUCCACUCUCCCACGCUAACAGCCUACUAGCUGAAUUCCACUAUGUGAUUAACAAGAUAUUACAACUUUGAGUACAAACACUUAGAGGUAGAUCACACUAUCUCACUAAGUCACUCUUUUGGUAUUUCUCUCAAGAUCACAAAUGUUUAAGCUCACGAAAGACAAGUGUAUGAACAAAGGUCGCUUAGAUUUUUGAAUUAUAAAUUCUACGCUCAAUCUCUUACUUGCUCAUCGGUCAUUGGUCUCCUUAAAUACUCCUCCACUUCCAAUCUACCCAUUGGACAGAUUUGUAUCUAAAAGAUUUGUUAGCCGUUGAGUAAUAGAAUUAGAAUCCCAAAUUGAUUUUGAUCACUCAUACAAACAGAAUCUUGGUUUCCAUAAGUAGAGCUUCUUCGUAUAGAAAGUUCUUGUCUUCAAUAUCCAAUUGUCAAUCAAUUAGAUUGAGUCAAUCAAAUCUAUCUUGAUGUAGAAUCCAAACCAAAUUCCUAGCCGUUAUAUGUUUGGAGCUUGUGUUACAUUCUGUCUCGUUCUGGAUGUAAAUCUGAGAACAAUAGACUUUACAAUCUGAGUUUGAGUGCAAUAGACUUUAUAGUCUCGAUGUAAGUUUGAACAUAUUUAGCUUCAACAUAAAGUCUGUCUGCUGGUUCUUCCAAUUAUAGACUUUGACAAUAUCCUUUAUAUAUUCUAUCAUUCACAUAGUUUGUUACUUAACAAUUAAACACGUUGGUAGCCUUUGAUUUAUUUUGUCAUCUUCAAAACAUCAUAAGGAAUUUCCUUAACACCUUUCAAGUACCUCAACACCCUCUUUGUAGCUACCAUAUGCAACUCACUUGCACAAUUGAGAAAUCUAGACAAGACACUUACAGGAAACAUGAUGUCUGGCCUAGUUGUAGUGAGAUACAUAAGACAGUCAAUCAAACUUCUAUAUACACUUUCAUCUGCAGGUUCUGAUCCAUCCUUCUUUUGAAGUUUUUCCUUAUGACCCAUUGGAGUACUCACACUCUUGUACUCCUCCAUGUUGAAUCUCCUUAGGAUCUCCUUCAAGUACUUCUUCUGAUAGAUUAAAAGUUCAUUUUGAUUCUACCUAACCUCCAUUCCUAGAAAAUACGACAUCUCACCAAGAUCAGUCUUUUCGAACAUCUUCAUCAUCUCUUGCUUAAAUGCAGUAAUCUGAGCACUAUNNNNNNNNNNNNNNNNNNNNNNNNNNNNNNNNNNNNNNNNNNNNNNNNNNNNNNNNNNNNNNNNNNNNNNNNNNNNNNNNNNNNNNNNNNNNNNNNNNNNNNNNNNNNNNNNNNNNNNNNNNNNNNNNNNNNNNNNNNNNNNNNNNNNNNNNNNNNNNNNNNNNNNNNNNNNNNNNNNNNNNNNNNNNNNNNNNNNNNNNNNNNNNNNNNNNNNNNNNNNNNNNNNNNNNNNNNNNNNNNNNNNNNNNNNNNNNNNNNNNNNNNNNNNNNNNNNNNNNNNNNNNNNNNNNNNNNNNNNNNNNNNNNNNNNNNNNNNNNNNNNNNNNNNNNNNNNNNNNNNNNNNNNNNNNNNNNNNNNNNNNNNNNNNNNNNNNNNNNNNNNNNNNNNNNNNNNNNNNNNNNNNNNNNNNNNNNNNNNNNNNNNNNNNNNNNNNNNNNNNNNNNNNNNNNNNNNNNNNNNNNNNNNNNNNNNNNNNNNNNNNNNNNNNNNNNNNNNNNNNNNNNNNNNNNNNNNNNNNNNNNNNNNNNNNUUUUUUUCUAUCAUAGACAACUCUUCCUUCAUUGCAUUCAUCCACCUCUGAUCACUUUUAGCUUCCUCAUAACCUGCAGGUUCCAAAACACACACACUAUAUAUAUAUAUAUAUAUAUAUAUAUAUAUAUAUAUAUAUAUAUAUAUAUAUAUAUAUAUAUAUAUCAGUCAGAGAUCUGGUACCUCUAACUAGAACAUCAUCCACUAGCUCGUCAAGUUCCAGUGAGACCUCUUUGUGCUUGCCUUGUGGCUCAUUUGUCCAGUCCCAUUUCUCAUCUUCCAAGAAUUGAACAUCCCUACUAGUGAUCACCUUUCCUAUCUUUGGUUGAUAGAUCCUGUAAGCUGUUGACACUAAACUGUAGCCAACAAAGAUCCCAGGUUCAACUUUCUCUCCUAGCUUGUCUCUCUUAACCUGUGGAAUAUGAGAAAAACAUAAAUAGCCAAACACCUUCAAAUUUCUUAGAAUUGGCUUGACAUCAAACCAAGCUUCAAAGGGUGUCUUCUUCUCCAAUACCCUUGUAGGUAGUCUAUUCAGCAAAAAAACUACUGUGUUUGUUGCUUCUACCCAAAACUCUUUCGGUAGAUUCUUCUCAUACAGCAGGCAACUUGUCAUCUCCAUAAUGGUUCUAUUCUUCCUCUCACUAACUCCAUUUUGCUAUGAAGAGUAAUGAGCAGUAAGCUGAUACUCAAUUCCAGCCUCUUUACAGAAAGAGUUAAACAUAUGUGAAGUGUAUUCUGUUCCAUUAUCAGAUUUGAUGACCUAAAUCUUGCAACCACUUUGAUUCUCAACCCAUCUCUUAAACUUCAGAAAUACCUCAGCAACUUCUGACUUUUGCUUCAUAAAGUAAAUUUAGCACAUUCUAGUGUAAUCAUCAAUGAAAAUAAUGAAAUACUUACUGCCAUUAAGUGAAUGAGUCACUUAUGGACCACAUAGAUCUGUAUGAAUCAACUACAGCUUCUCUGUAGCUCUCCAAGUGGAUUCCUUGAAGGGAAGUCUUGUCUGCUUGUCUAGCAAACAAGCUUUGCACCUUGUGAUAUGCUCCUCUGGGCUAGGUAACCCAGUUGCCAUUUCAUUCCUCUGCAUGAACAUCACACCUUUGUGAUGAAAGUGCCCUAAUCUCUUGUGCCAUAUUUCUAAAUCAUUGGCCUAACACUUGAAUGUCAUAUGCUCCUUCUCAAGAUGAUUCAAAGAAAAAAUCUUCUGUGAGUCAAAGAUCAAACACUUUUCCUCUUCAAAUAUCACCUUAAAUCCUUUUUUCUACCAACUACCCCACACUCAGCAAAUUCUUAUCAAUCUCAGGCACAUACAUCACAUCAAAAACUAGCUUAGUUCCAGCACGACUCUCCAUUGCUUCAGUCUCUUUACCAUUCACUUCUAAGUACUCCCCAUUCUCAAUCCUCACUCUUGACUUCAAUGACUUGUCAAGGUCUAUAAAUAGCUUUUCAUCACUUGUCAUGUGGUUUGUGCAAACACUAUCAACAAGCCAACUGUCACUUGGAGUACUAGAGGAGAAACAAGAGGCAACAAACAAUUGAUCUACCUCUUGUUGGACUGCAACAUGUACCUCACCUUGCUGCUGAUCUCUCUUCUCUUUGCAAAACUUCUCAAUGUGUCUAAGCUUAUGACAUUUUCUACACCUUACAUUUGGCCUCUUCCAACACUUAAAGUGUGGAUGAUUCCUUUUUCCACAAUGCUAACACAAGGAAUAUCUUCCCCAAUUGUUCUUGGAGUUGCCCGCAUUGUUCUCUCCUACAACAGCUUAUAAACCACUACUGCCAUUUCCUUUCUUCCCUUUCCACUUUUUUACUUUUCCUCAUACAUUUUGUUGUUCUUUGGCUAGCAGAAUUCUUUUCGUACUUCCUUCCAACCUCAUUAACCUCAUUCGCUCUUGUGCUUGCAGAGCACUUAGCAAUUCUAUUAACUUGAUCUAAGACAAAUCCUUGGUAUUCUCCAAAGAGGCAAUGGUUGCCUCAAAUCUUUCAAGCACGAAGACAAGAAUCUUCUGCACUAGCCUAUUAUCAAAAGAGGUCAGUGCCUAGAAACUCUUGCCUGAUUUGCAAUGCUUAUCAACUUAUUAGAAUACUCCUUAAUUGUCUCAGACUCCUUCAUCUGCAUCUCUCGAAUUUUGUGAUCAGAAUAGCCCAUUCAUUCUUUAGAUCCUCUCAUCUUCUUGAUACUUAGCUUUGAGGAAGUCCNNNNNNNNNNNNNNNNNNNNNNNNNNNNNNNNNNNNNNNNNNNNNNNNNNNNNNNNNNNNNNNNNNNNNNNNNNNNNNNNNNNNNNNNNNNNNNNNNNNNNNNNNNNNNNNNNNNNNNNNNNNNNAUGGUUGGAUUGUCAGGAAUGGGAGCAACUUCAUAAUCUUGUUCUACAGCUUCCCAAAAAUCACAAUCCUCUAGAUAGGCUCGCAUUCUCACUGCCCAAGCUUGAUAAUUUUCUCCAUCAAAUGCUAGUGGAGCCAUUGCUAAGAAACCACUCGAUCCUGCAUCCAUCUUGCUUUUAGCUUGUAUGGAUGCAGACACACCUCUCAAUCAAUCUCACAAGUCACUCACAGCCCCUUAGAUCAAGAAAGCUCUUAUACUAGUAUUGUUUUCGAAAGAACGGAGAAGGAGUUGACAGCAAAAGCUAUGUAUAUUAUUCAAAAAACUAAAAAAAUGCUUAAAUACAUACUAAAACUUAACCAUAAACCCACGUUGCCCACUAACAGCUUGCUUGGUCCACAAAACCAGCAACAAACUAAAACGCCAGCUAACUACUCCUACAAGAUAAGAUUGACCAAAUAAAACAACAAUUAACUAACUCCUAGAAUACUAGACAUCAACAAACUGACUAAACAAAACUAAGAAAAAACAGAUGGUGCCGUCUUGAUACAUCAACAAAGUACCAUCUCCUCUUUUUCACUCUCGCAUCUGUCAUUUAAGCUGCUUCCUUUGAGAACUUGGACUGCCUCCAACAUUGUGGGUCGUUUUGUUGGUGACUCUUGGACGCACAAGAGAGCCAGUUUGACUAAUUUCUCGGCCUCUUUCUCAUCGUAGUCUCCCCUCAUGUUCGGAUCGAUCAGACAUCCCAACUCGUUAUGUUCCACAAUAACUUUUACCGACUUAAAAUCGUUGAUUCCUUUUCUGGCUCCAUGCUGCCGAAAACCAGGAACACUCGGACCAGAGAUGAGCUCGAGGAGCACCACCCCAAAUGCGAAGACAUCAUUCUUUACCGAGAACAUCCCAUGUAAUGCGUACUCCGGAGGUAUAAAUCCAUGUGUACCACAUAUUCGAUGGGUUCUGUACAACUCUGUUGAUCUUUCCAGAGCAGCCAUCUGGUGUGGUGCCCUGGCGCUUUCCAACUUCUGGAUCUGCUGGUUCCAAUCUUCAUGAUUCAUCAAUUUUGCCAAGCCGAAGUCCGCAAUGAGAGAUUCGAAGUUCUCAUCCAACAAAAUGUUCGAAGGCUUUAUGUCGUGGUGAAUUAUCUGAAGACUGCAAUCCUCGUGAAGAUACGAGAGCCCUCUCGCCACUCCUAAGGCAAUGUGCAUCCGGGUAGGCCAAUCGAGAGGGGGUUGCAAUGCAGAACACUCCCUCAAAUGGGAAUCCACAGUUCCUUUGACCGCCAAUGGAUAUACCAACAGGUGCUCCACCGGUUCUGUGCUUGCCUUUCCUUUCUUGACAGGUUUUUGUGGUUCCGUUGAAUCGCAAAAGCCGAGUAGUUGGAUCAGAUUCCGGUGCCUGGCCAUACUCCCAACCUCCACUUCAGCACGAGUCUCCACUUCAGCAUGGCCGUAUAGUUGGGUACAUUUUUUUAUUGCCACGACAGAUCCAUCAAGCAAAAUUCCUCUGUAGACCUUACCAAACCCACCUUCUCCGACAACGUUCUCUUCGCUGAAAUUGCCAGACGCGACUUUCAGCUCCCGGUACGUAAAAUUGCGAAGCUGUACCUGAGGCCGAAGUAAUUGGAGAUUCGAGUGGUCGGAUGAUGUCUUCGGCCUCCAGCAAGAAAACUUGACGGCAGGGGCAGUGAACCCGCGCGAAACGCCUUCAGCGGCUCUGCCCACGACUGCCAUGGCUCGGGUUAAGCUGUUGCCAAGUGGAAGGCAAACUUUGGACGACGGAGGAGGACUAGGUGGCGAAAACAGAGUGGAAACAUCGACAUCCUGGGCGAGAUCGAUUGUGUGAAAUUUGAAAACCAUCUUUCUGAUGCAAUCAGUAUUGCAGGUAUGUGCCUGUAUGGUUCACGCUCUGAAAGGGUGAAGAUUUGAUUUAAAUGGAGCCUAUGCCCCUGGUUUCGCGUCGACUGGGUUGUUUCUAGGUAACGUAUUGGAAGGUGCCUGCUGCUGAACUUAUUAGCCCCGGAAGCAUCCCUGAAAUUUAAUUUUCUCCGCAUUGUAACCUAUGAAGCAUGGACACGUCAUCCAUGCUUCCGUGUCGUGUUACGUGACACGUGGUCAACUUUUCUCCACAUUUGUUGACAUGCGUGUCCGGAAGACAAUGGAGGAUUGAGGCGAGGACGAGGGAGCAGAGAUGAGGCCGCGAGCAAUGGCAAGCCUGCAAUGGCAACGGCUUGCCUGCGACGGCGAGAGGGCCUGCUGCGAUGGAGGGCUGGCGAGUGGCGACGAGGCUGAGGCUGCGGCUACGAAGGAGGAAGGCUGGAGGAGAGGCAGUGAGGCGAUUGAAAGAGAGAUCGUGUGAAAAGGACGAGGAGGUCGUGGUUAGCAGCUGAUGGGGGAGGGAGGGGGAAGAAAGGGAAAGAACCGGAGGCGGAGACGAAGGAGGGAGAGAGAAAUAACAGGUGAGGUAAGUGAUGAGUGGGGGUGACUGUGAGAGGGGGGCCGGGGGCAGAGAAACAACACAGGUGAGGUGACUGGUGAGAUGACUGAUGAGUGGGGGGUGGGGGCAAUGGGGGGUGACGUGAGGGCUGAGGGAAAGGGAGGAAGAGAGAGACCCCACGCCGGGUCAGAAUCAUUUCCUAAGUCAAUUCAUCUAAAAAAUAGGCAUACUCACUCAAGAUCGAUUACUACCGUUGAUAAUCAUGAAAAAAUCAGUGAUAAUUAUUUUAUGUGUGGACGGAUUUUGGAUUAGAAUGAGUGAUUUCUUUUUAGAUGAAAAAAAAAGUUCAUGACAAAGUUGAGAUUGGACUUAAGGUUUAAGAUUUUUUUUUUUAAGGAAAUUAAAUCGUGGGGCUAUCUACGUCUUUAAAAAAAAAAUUUGAUCACAUUAACUUGUAUACAUUUUUCUGAAGGAUUCACAACAACCAAAUAAGAACUACAAGCUCCAUCAUGCCAAUACUUUUUCUCUAUAGAAUAAAACUUGAAAAAUCACAAAUUCUUGAUCAAUAAACAUCAUUUUUUUUUUUUUACAAAAUUAGGUCAUUCUCUUUUUGAAUAAAAAAUUGACGGCCCAAUGGAGUUUGGUUUUAAAUAAGCAUUAAGUAUUUCAAAAAAAAUUCACUUCAGUUAUAAGAUAUUUUGAAUUUUCAAAAAAAUAAAAACACAAUAGAUCUCAUGACUUUCAUAUCACUCUCACACAAUUUUUUUCAACCAUUUAAAUGUCAUAACUUAUAAAAAAAAAAAAGUAUUCACUUAAAUAUCAUAACUCAAUCGAUCACUUAAAUGCAAAAUUUCUUUUAAAACGUUUACCCAAGUGUUAAUUUAUUUUGUGUCAAAUAUCCAAGUGUUAAUUUACUCGUAACUUCCGAAGCAACUCUCGCUCCUGCAACUGCAACUCUCCGACCAUCUCCUGGAAGCGAGAGGUUUUCUUCCGUCUCCUUCCUCCAUCGCGCAUUUCGCAAUUCUAAUGCAUUCGAGCUUCCGAAGGAUCGCCUGCUCCGACGUCCGCCUCUCCCUGACCCGCCGCCGCCGCCGCGCCACCCGCAGGCCCAUCUCCACUUCAUCGCCGCCCCCGGACCCGGCGGAGCCCUUAACGCGGCCGCAGCUCAAAACCCUCCGUCCUCCUCGCCGCCCCAAGCCCUCCCGAUGCGGCUCCCCUGCCUCCGCCUCCUUCUUCUUUACUCAAGUCGGUGUCGAGGCGCUUCUCGCUCUCCGAAAUGGGCCGCGAGAUCGCUGAGGACCGGUUCGACGUCGCGGCGUGCUGCGUCGCGAUGGUGCCCUCGAGCAAGAAAGGUGGGCCCCUGGUCCUGCCCGGCUUGAAACUGAAGGUCUUCAUCGAGGCCCUCCGGAUGGUUCUGGAGGUCGUAUAUGACGAGAGGUUCGCGACUUUCGCUUACGGCGGGCAGGUCGGCAUGGGGCGCCACACGGCUGUGCGAUACUAGAAAACCUCGGUACAGAAUUCCAGCUGGUGGUUCACUGUGAAAUUCGACAGACAGAAGUUUGAUUGUGCACAUGUGAGCAAACUGUGUAAGGUCAUUGAAGAGAAAAUCGACGAUUCUCUUUCCAAUGAUUUGAUAAGGAGGCUGUUUGAGUGCCAAGCCGUGAGCAUUGAAUUGGGCGGCUGUUAUUUGGGGAGAGGGUUUCCUCGAGAGCGGCUUGUAUGCAAUUUUGAUUAACAUAUACUUCAAUGGACUCGACAAGGAAAUUCAGGAUUCGCCAAGCCCGAAUGCGCAUGUCCAGACAAGCGUCUUCGUUAUAAUAGUUUGCAAAAACCUUAUGAACACAUUAAUUAUCUUUACCAAUUAAUCGAGCAGUCUGUUAUCAGUAACAAGCAUCAAAGACCACAAAUCUUCACGAAAGAUGUGAAAUAUGCAUACAUCAAAAUAUGCAGAGACAAUGACGGUGACUUUAAUUGGGUCCCUCUACACUGAAGUUAUAAGCGUUCCCUUCAACCAUCCUGACCACUCGCGACAUUAUCGUGGCGUCUCCAUGGCGACCUCUCUGUUCACGCUAUAGCUUAAAUUUAAUCAACGUCAGCACCUCUUCUUCCGCGUACUUCCCUUGCAAAGAGCGCUCAAUUAAACACAUCAACAGUCCAAUCUGAGAGCCACUCGGUACUUCUCAUCCAACAGAACAUUCGAAGCUUUAAUAUCUCAAGAUGAUCUUGGGAUGCAGUCUUCAUGCAACCCUCAUCCUUACUGACCAUUCUAGGGAGAUCCUUAGGUCUCACGGAGGUCCGAGUCUAUAUAACAGAACAUAUUCUAGAAAGGUUGUGGCCUCCCCCUAUCACUGCCCUCCUUAGAUACCGAUUAUUCUUCAAGCGUCUCUCGAUGUGGGACUUUAGGAGGUCGCGCGCAUUAAGUGCACUCAACCCACAACCUCCCUCCCCUGGUUUCUUCUCCUCUUUUUUCCAUCUGUUUAUCUGUUUGUCGUCUCGCAGCUUAGCUUGGGGCGCUUGUUAGUGUUUUCGUUUGCAGGUUCUUUGCGUUUAACAGAGAAUGCAACUUCUCCUGAAUGUAAAAGUGAACGAUGCUUUGCUGUUGCAGACCCAUAGUCUUUGUCUUUUUUGAGUAGAGGAGAGAUGCAUUAAAUGGCUGAUUGUCAAUGGCUGCCGAUUGGGCUCGGUAUAACCCAACACCGUUUUCAAGCCCACUUGAGAGGGAGAGGGGGAGGGAGGGAGGAUACAUAUUAUUAUUUUUAUGAGACUCUCCACUUUUAUCUUCUCAUUUUCAAAUCAACCUUUCUACUAGGUGUCAGAACGAGGAUUGUAGGAGGAGACAUGCCACUUCCUCCCUCCCUUCCUCCUCCUUUUUUUCCCUUUUUUUUUUUUUGCUAUUCCAUAUCUAUUUUAACUUUACUUUUCAAAGUAUCAAUAAAGGCAGAAAUUUUGAGCCAAAUAUAAAGUUAUUUAUAGGUAUUCUAGUGAUCAAAAGUUCGUAUUUGCAAGUGUUUGUAUUCAUUCAGAACAAGUACCAUUGAACAAAGAUAUUGACCAAUUGAAUGGGUUAAAUCAAAUUAGUAUUUGUCCAUAUUAAAUUAAAAGUUGAACAGUUUUAUAAUUCCUUAUUUUGUCAGACAGACCUCAAAAUUUUAAAUUGAAAAAUAUUAUUAAUAUAUCUUUAUAUGAAAUCCUCAACUCCAACAAAUGUUGGGUUGAUAAUAUUGCUUGGGUUACCAAACAUCUUGCUGACAAUAGUUUCCACCAAUCCAUGGCUCACUUUACUUUUGGAGCUUUAUGCUAUCUUAUUUGGAAGGAACGGAAUGAGAUUAUCUUUUGCAACCGCUCCCUUUUCCCUUCCGGCGUUGAAGAUAUUUCUUUAUAAGGCAAUUAAGCAUAAAGCCUUGUCCUUCAAUCACAUCCCAAACACUCCACGGAAUAGAAGACUGCAACAAAGUUGGGAAUUGCCAUCAUCAAUUUUUGAUUGAUUGUGUUCUUCCCCUUCUUGUUGUUAUUUUCGCCUCCUAGUAGCUAUUUGCCUCUUUUGUUUUAUUGUGGUACCAAAGCACCCCUACACUCUCUUGACUCCUUGUCUUUUGAGUGUUUGUUUUGUUAGUACCAAGCUUCCUCUCUUUGUAUAUUCAUUUGGUAAAAUCUAUAUUAUACUUACCUUUAUCAAAUAAAUUAAAAAAAAAAUCCUCAACUCCAAGCCUUACAUAAGUCAGCUUUGGCAAAAACAAUGGAGGCUGGACUUCUCUUUGUGGGUGAGAAAUGAAAGAAGAAGAGCUGAAGAAAGAAAGAUGGUUGUCCCAAGUAUGUCUUAGCUUGGGUUUUACAGUUCCUUGUUUUUCCAUAUAUAAUCAUUUGCUUGUGCUACUUUAUCAAGCAAAAGAGUUGCAAAAGAUAAACAAUGUGAUUUGUGGUGUACUAUAUAAUAUACUUAUGUGAUGCUCCUAGUACAUCAUGGCUAAUGCAUUUAUUAAAGUCUUUUCGUUUUUUAAGCAUGCAGAAGCGUGUACAAUUAAAUAAUAUUGAGGACAUAUAAAAAUUCGAAGGAACACACAUGGAUAUGCAAACCUGACAGUCUCGUUUUAUUUUUUAUUUAUAUAUGUUUUAGGUAAUGGAGUCGGGGUACAUUUGGGAUGAGCUAAAGAUACAACUGCUCCGUACCACACCCAAAAGUUCUAGCAGCCGUACCAUCCCGACUUGGAUACUAUGUAUGUACUAUGUCAUCUGUCUCCCACCUACAGUACGUCCAAAAUCUUAGCUUGGUCUUCCCAAAAUGCUACUAAUUUGAGAAAUAAGCAAACUACUAACUAGUCUAUACCACAUAAGUCAGUAACAGCACAUGCGAGGAAGUUUAAAUAUACAAGACAAGAGAUCAUUACGAUAUCAACUUACCUAAGAACCUUUCUCAAAAUCAUAAUAGCAAAUAUAAAACAUUUCCUCUGAAAACAAUAAUCCAAUAAAACUUGAAUGAAAUAUGAAAAUGCCAAUGAUCAUAUUUACUAUGAAUUAGCUACCACCAUCUUUCAGAGAACCUCAUUAUCGCCCGAGCAUCUCGCACCCAUCUAGCAUCGCGAGGACAUUUGGGGGAACCAUGUUACACCCUCAAGCAUCCAGAGGAACCCAAUUACCCUUCGGGCAUUCCUACUAUAACUCAGGGCAGCAUAGUCAUUGGGACUGAUGGUAUUCUCAAAUCACACACUCAUCCCAUUGUGCAAUAAUUCAAUCAUUCAAUUUAACAUGCCAUCCACCAUGCUAAUGCACAAGAAUCAAAUCAGUUUCAAAAUCUUAGUCCAAUGUAAAUAAGAGAAAUGGUACAAAAUAGUUGUUUAGCAGUGCCGGUUGAAUAAGAUAAGUUAUAAAAGGAGUUUAUUCAAAAUUCCAAAAUUGAUAGUAAAAGGGGCAAGUCACCAUAAAUCGCCAAGUAAAUCAGUUUCAAAAAUUACAAAAUUUUAACACAAUGUGGAUGAGACUCCGAGGAACGUUUUUAAUGUAUAACUCAAAACCCGGUUCAGCUUGUACGGGGUCCCAAUAAUUUUUUAUAUUUUAGGUCAAGACAGGGUAGAUUUCCAUGAUAAAAUAUUUGAAAUUGCGCAUUUCGAAAGCUUAAAUGAGUUCUAAAAAUCAUGGGAAAAUUACACGUUAUAAUUUAAGAUGUGGUCUAAAAAUUUCAUGAUAACAUUGUCCAAAUAUUUUGUUCAAAACUCUGUGGAAAUUAAAAAUCGAGUAAAGGUCAGUAAAAAUCCGAGAAAAUAGUUUCAAACCCGCUUCAAUUUUUCAAACAUAUUUUGAAUAUAUGAAGUCUGAAAAAUCCGAAAUUAAAGCAUGUUAUAAAACAAAGUAAACAUUUUGUGAAUAAAGCCUCACAAGAUUCAUACAACAAGAACCAAUAUAAAAUUGGCAAAAGUACGAUCUACUAAACCAAAAAUAGCUGUAUCCUCGGAUUCGCUCACGACUUAUGCUAUUUUAGCCCAAACCAGCACAAAUCCCAACAUCCAAUAUUUCAACAACACAUCAGUGAACUCAAUAAACCAUAAUUUCAACAAUGCUCGUAAUGUACGUUUUCCGAAAUCGUUGACUAUCAUGACUAUGUAUGAAAUCAACCGAGACGAUUAAAAUCUAAUGAAAUUGACCUUGACGUGCGGCAAUCAACUUACAUAACAUAAAAGGGAGGCAAUUUACUUGCCUCAAGUCCGUAGAAAUCUCUUGCGUUAGUUAGGAAGGAUGCGAGAACCUGAGUUACGAUUGGUCCUCCGGCGGUUUGAGACGAACCGAGAAACACGAACAGGAACAGCGCUGGUUGGCUGGUCUGGUUGAACGAGGGCGCAUCGCUGGCGAAGGUGGCGGCGAGUUGUGGUGUCGCGCGGCCAAGGGACUGAACGAAAAGGGCGGGAUGUGAGCGUGUCUGGGCGAUGCUAAAGGAUAAAUGAAGAAACAUGAGCUGGCUGGAUUUAAAUUUUUGGUUCUUCUCUCUUUCAACCGUCUUUGCAUGGUCUUGGUCAACAUUUUCAACUGGUGGCAGCCCCAAGGAGAUGACAGCUAGAGGGGAACGUGGCUUGGCCGGGUGAAUUUUCAUUUACCUCUUUCACUGCUUCAUGGGCGUGGUCAACAUUUGAUUGCCACGUUACUCCCACUCGUGGCAGCCCAAGGAGAAGCCGCCUGGGUGAGGUUACGUGGGUUUGGGGCUUAAGACUCGGCGGAAAUUUUGGUGCCUCGUCUUGCCAUAGUUGGCGGCCAAUUGAAGCGCCAAUUGGAGAAGACUCGGCCAGGCCGAGCGGUGCGGCAACGUGGUGGUGGUGCGGUGACAUGACGAUAAGGUGGCGUGGUGAUGACGGGGACAAGCUGAGGUGGCAAGCCCUUGUAGUGGUGCGGUCUGAUGAUGAGCUUGAUUAUAUGACGUGAACCAUUAAGCAUUUGAGGCUCACUAUCCCAUCGAGCGAAAAUCCAAAUGUCACAACUUAUAUCUCCAAUGACUAGGCUGGAAGACCCUGUGCACCUUAAUUAUAGUUUCGUAGUGACAACCUUACUCAAAUGUGUAGGAUUGGAGGGGGAGGGGGUGGGUGAUGCAUAACCAUCAAUCCCGAAAGAUCACUAUUUCAUCUAAGGAUGCUUAAUCACCGCUCCGAGAAUUCGGGGAUUAUUUGUUCGUGUUAUUUUUCUGGAAUUCAUGUGCAAUUGGUGACACAUGACUUUUGUUUGUAUUUUUGGCUAGGAAGAAAUUAUAGCAUGCGGUUCACUUUCAUUGAAAUGAAUGAUGAUCUUUUAAAAUCUAAAUUGAUGACGGUGAUGACAACAGCUAUUGACCAAACUCUAGAGAAAAGGGAAGCGCGUGUUUCUCGACUAGUGCAUGACAGCUGUGCUCGCUUCCAGGACAAGGGCGUCAUCUCGGUCCUGAUAGCACCUCUGGAUCAAGAUGAGAUGCAGAGUCGGCGAGGGUGCGUCCUGAUAGCUCCUCUGAAUCAAGAAGAGAUUCUCCUAGCGGAAAAGUAAGUAACAUCUCCGCUUUUUCACUCUCCCAUCUGUCAUUUAAGCUGCUUCCUUUGAGAAUUUGGACUGCCUCCGACAUUGUGGGUCGUUUUGUUGGUGACUCUUGGACGCACAAGAGAGCCAGUUUGACUAAUUUCUCAGCCUCUUUCUCAUCGUAGUCUCCCCUCAAGUGCGGAUCGAUCAGACAUCCCAACUUGUUAUGUUCCCCAAUGUCUUUCACCCCCGUAAAAUCACGGAAUCUUUUUCUGUCUAGAGGCUGCCCAAAAUCAAUCCUUGAACCAGAGAUGAGCUCGAGGAGUACCACCCCAAAUGCGAAGACAUCAUUCUUUGCUGAGAAAUAACCGUGCAUCAAGUACUCUGGAGGGAGAUAUGCAAAUGUACCACCUAUAUGAUUGGUACUGUAUAACUUUUCCGAUCUAUCCAGAGCAGCCAUCUGGUGCGGUGCCCUGGCGCUUUUCGACUCCUGGAUCUGCUGCUUCCAAUCUUCAUGGUUCACCAAUUUUGCCAUGCCGAAGUCCCCAAUGAGAGGUUCGAAGUUCUCAUCCAACAAAAUGUUCGAAGGCUUUAUGUCUCGGUGAAUUAUCUGAAGACUGCAAUCCUCGUGAAGAUACGAGAUCCCUCUCGCCACUCCUAAGGCAAUGUGCAUCCGGGUAGGCCAAUCGAGAGGGGGUUGCAAAGCAGAGCACUCCCUCAAGUGGGAAUCCAUAUUUCCGUUGACCGCCAAUGGAUAUACCAACAGUUACUCUACCGGUUGUGACCUUGCCUUUCUUUUCUUGACAGGUUUUUGCGGUUCCAUUGAAUCGCAAAAGCCGAGCAGUUGGAUCAGAUUCCGGUGCCUGGCCAUACUCCCAACCUGCACUUCAGCACAAGCUUGCACUUCAGCAUGGCCAGAUGCUCGGGAAUAUAUUUUUAUUGCCACCGCAGAUCCAUCAAGCAAAAUUCCUCUGUAGACCGUACCAAACCCACCUUCUCCCAAAACAUUCUCUUUGCUGAAAUUGCCAGUCGCGACUUUCAGCUCCUGGUAUGUAAAUUUUCGAAGCUGUACCUGGGGAUGAAGUAAUUGGAGAUUCGAGUCGUCGGAUGAUGUCUUUGGCCUCCAGCAAGAAACCUCGACGGCAGGGGCAGUGAACCCGCAAGAAACGCCUUCAGCGGCUCUGCCUGCGACAGCCAUGGUUCGGGUGAAGCUCUUGCCAAGUGGAAGGCAAAUGGUGGACGACGGAGGAGGAGUAGGCGGAGCAAACAGAGUGGAAACAUCGACAUCCUCGGUGAAGUCGAUGGUGUAAAAUUUGAAAACCAUCUUUCCGAUGCAAUCAGUAUUGCUGGUAUGUGUCUGUAUGGUUCACGUCUGAAAUGGUAGAAGAUUUGAUUUAAAUGGAGCCUAUGGCCCCGGUUUCACGUCAGCUGGGUUGUUUCUAGGUAACAUCCUGGGGGGUACCUGCUGCUGAACUUAUUAGCCCCGGAAGCAUCCCUGAAAUUUUCCUUUUCUCCGCGUUGUAACAAAGUCAAAACCAAAUCCUGUCGCGACUUAACGUGCAACGCGGUGAGGGGUGCGAGACGACGCUUACGCUUUGUCUGGUCCUACUAAGGAGACCCGGCGUGGGGUCAAAAUCAUUUCCUAAAUCGACUCAUCUGAAAAAUACGCAUACCGACUCACGAUUGAUUAUUAAUGUUGAUAAUCGUGAAAAAAUCAACAGUAAUUUUUCGAUGGGUGGAUGGAUUUGGGAUUAGAGUGAGUGAUUUCUUUUUAGAUGAAAAAAGUUCACAAUAAAAUUAAGGUUAGAUUAAAAGUUUGAAAUUUUUUUAGGAAAUUAGAUAAUGGGCUAUAUACAUCUUUUAAAAAAAAUGAUCAUGUUAACUUGUAUGCAUUUUUUGAAGGAUUCCAUUCACAGCAAUCAAAACAAGAAGAACUGCAAACCCCAUCGUGCCAAUACUUAUUCCCAUGACAUAUAGAAUAAAACUUGAAAAAUCCCAAAUUCUUGAUCAAUAAACAUUAAAUUUUUUGACAAAAUUAGAUCAUUCUUUUUAUGAUUGAAAAAUUGACGGCUUAAUGGGGUCUAGUUUUGAAUAAGCAUUAAGUAUUUCAAAAAAAUUUCACUUAGUUAUAAAAUACUGUGAAUGAUUCAUAUGACCCUCAUUUGAAUGUUACAUUUUUUUCAACUACUUAAUUGUCAUAACUUUUAAAAAAUAUUUACUUGAGUGUUAUAACUUUCGAUUGAUCACUUAAAUGUGAAAUUUUUAAAAAAAAGUUUACUCAAGUAUUAGAAAUUCAAAAUAGUAUAACAUUUAUGGAGAAUGUUUUUAAAAAGUUAUACGAUACUUAAAUGACUAGAAAAAAAGUCAUGGCCCCGGAGUUACAAAAAAAAAAUUAUGACAAGCAAGUGAUGGCGGGUAUACGUAUAAUACUUGCGAUCAAUGUGAUGUCCUUUUCCAAUAUUUUCAAUCAACAAAAAAAGAAGAGUUAAUUUACUCCUAACUUCCGAAGCAACUCUCGCCGUGCAACUGAAACUCUCCCACCAUCUCCUGGGAGUGAGAGGUUUUCUUCCGUCUCCUUCCUCCAUCGCGCAUUUCGCAAUUCUAAUGCAUUCGAGCUUUCGAAGGAUCGCCUCCUCCGACGUCCGCCUCUCCCUGACCCCCCGCCGCCGCGCCACCCGCAGGCCCAUCUCCACCUCAUCGCCGCCCCCGGACCCCGCGGAGCCCUUAACGCGGCCGCAGCUCAAAACCCUCGUCCUCGGCCGCUACGCCAAGAAUGGCAAGUUCUCCGGCCUCGCCCGCCACGUCCUGUCCUCCCCCUCCGUCCUCCUCGCCGCCUGCCGGAACCUCGCCGCCCCAAGCCCUCCCGACGCGGCUCCCCUGCCUCCGCCUCCGCCUCCGCCUUCCUCUGCUCUGCUCGACUCCGUGUCGAGGCGCUUCUCGCUCUCCGAAAUGGGCCGCGAGAUCGCCGAGGGCCGCUUCGACGUCGCGGCGUGCUGCGUCGCGAUGGCGCCCUCGAGAAAGAAAGGUGAGCCCCUGCUCCUGCCCGGCUUGAGACUGAAGGUCUUGAUCGAGGCCCUCAGGAUGGUUCUGGAGGUCGUAUAUGACGAGAGGUUCGCGACUUUCGCUUACGGCGGGCGUGUCGGCGUGGGGCGCCACACGGCUGUGCGAUACUUGAAAGCCUCUGUGCAGAAUCCCAGCUGGUGGUUCACUGUGACAUUCGACAGGCAGAAGUUUGACUGUGCACGUGUGAGCAAACUGUGUAAGGUCAUUGAAGAGAAAAUCGACGAUUCUCUUUUCGUUGAUUUGAUAAGGAGGCUGUUUGAGUGCCAAGUCGUGAGCAUUGAAUUGGGCGGGUGCUAUUUGGGGAGAGGGUUUCCUCAAGAGAGUGGCCUGUGUGCAAUUUUGAUUAACAUAUACUUCAAUGGACUCGACAAGGAAAUUCAGGAUUUAAGGCUUCAAAUGAAUAAAGAGAAUCUUAAGUUUGAGUCUAAUGAGAAUGUUUCGGAUUCAACAUCGAAUGUGUUUUACAAGCCCGUGAAGGUGUACGCAGUUAGGUACCUGGAUGAGAUGCUCUUUAUAACCUCAGGGUCAAAAAUUUUGACUCUGGAUUUGAAGAACAACAUUGUGAAAUAUAUAGAAGAGAAGCUGGAAUUGAAGGUAGAUAGAGUGAGAACUGCAAUUCACAGCCCUACGAUGGAAAAGAUUGAGUUCUUAGGGAUGGAACUUCAGGCAGUCCUGCCUUCUGUUUUGCAUCCCCCAAUGUCAGAAAAAGCCAUGAGGGCUAGGAAGAAGUACCUAAGGCAGAAGGAAGUGAAAGCUUUAGAAAUGAGAAAUGCUAGGGAAAGGAAUAGGAAGAAACUGGGAUUGAAGAUUUUGAGUCAUGUUUUCAAGAAGUUGAAGUGCACAAAUGGGUUCAAAUUUGACAUUCAAAUUGAGAAUGAGGUCAACGAGAUUUUCAGAACAUGGGCAGAUGAAGUGGUGCAGGACUUCUUAGGAUCUCUGGAGGAGCGGUAUAAUUGGCAUCGGGUGCUCUCAGCUGGAAAUUUCCUUUCUUUACAACGCAUAAGAGACCAAUUGCCACAGGAACUUGUCUUUGCUUAUGACAAGUUCCAAAAGGAAGUAGAUAAGCACUUGUCUCCGGUCAAAGCUAUGAAGGCAUUAAAGGAAGAAGAAAGGAGAGAAGAAGAAGAAAAGGAACAGAAGUAUGCAGAGAUGACAGUUCAUGAUUUGACGAGAUUGUGUAUUAGAGUUGAUGCACCCAUUGGAGUUGUUCGGAAGGCAGUUAAAAUGGCUGGAUUUACAAACAACAUGGGUCGGCCUAGACCAAUAAAGCUACUCAUUGCUCUAGACGAUGCUGAUAUCAUCAAAUGGUAUGCAGGUGUAGGGAAAAGAUGGCUUGACUAUUUCUGUUGCUGCCACAACUUCAAGAUGGUAAAAACAGUUGUAACUUAUCACCUGAGGUUCUCUUGCAUUUUAACUUUAGCAGAGAAGCAUGAAUCGACCAAACUUGAAGCAAUUAGGCAUUACUCCAAGGAUUUAAAAGUCUUGGAUGCAUGUGAAAAUGAAAUGUUCUACUUUCCCACAGAAAAAGAGGUUAAGAUGAUGGGAGAUAGAAACCUUUCAGAUCCAAAGCCUGUUGAUGGGGUUCUAACUUUGGUGCUGAUUAGAUUGGCUUUCGAUUGUAAGCCACUUCAUUCCUGUAUUGCACAUUUCUGUGACCGAACCGAUGUAGUUUUUUAUCGGAUACGAUUACUCCAAAACAGAUUAAAUGUAAACCCACUGAACGAGGAGAAGUGGAUCUCAGGGUUGGGUGUUAUCCAUGAGAGUUUGAAUCGCAAGUGCCUUCCUGUCUGUCCUGUCCAUAUAGAUGACUUGUACAUGGGAAAAAUCACACUUCAAAACAUUGAUGUUGGUUCAUUUGUGGAUGUGGAUGAUCUAUGAUUCUUUUGGUUGGUUCCCAGUUCCUGAGUGGUGUCAUGGUGGAUUGAGACCUUCUGAAUUGGGGCGAACACUGUGCACAGGUAAGUGCCCCACUUAAGCAUCAGUUCUCACUUGGGUUUGCUUAGAUGUCUAUUUUUUCUCUCUAACUAAUCUGCUUAUUCUUUCCAAAUGGGGUUGCCUGAAUUGUGCUCAAUAUGCAUCAACCACGGUAUAGUCUAGAUGUUAUGAGUGUUCUAGCCGCCACAUCAUGUGCUUGUUUUAUAGCUGGAUCCUUACUUUUUGUUGGCCAUUGACUUGGUUGUUGUUCCCAUAUAAAUGUGCCAGAUUGAAUAGAACACCAAAAGCAGUGUUUACUUUUAAUUCUACGCUUAUGUUGAUUAUUCUACUCAAUGCGGGCCCAGUUUCCUAGCUGUUGGAAAAUCUGAACUAAAACUACACAUAGCAUGUUUAAUCCGAUGGAGACGAGUGAUUGGGUGGACUGAUAGUCCAGCCAUAGAACUCAGUUUUGACCUCAAGCAUCUUACCCUUAAGGGUGAUUAUUUUGCUGCCUUCAAUAACACUGUACUGAGUAGAAUUUCUGAGGUGCACAGCAUCUGGCUAACUCUUUGUUUUCCUAAACAAGUUUAUUGGUUUUAGCUGUAUUGUCUGCAAGCACUACAACAUUUACAAAUGAUUUGUGUGCCUUCUUGCCUUUCUGUGAAAGUUUUUUUGUGUGCUCAUGCGCACAUACCUGCCAGCCUAGAUGUAAGCAUCCCUACUCCCUACUCCCUACUCCCUAGUCUCACCCCAUCCAAUGCCAGUAGGCCAAAUGCUGAGGAUAUCUUGCUUCUCUAAUUGCAAUACCAAGAUGCCUUUUCCUAAUGAUGGGAUUUGCACCUCUUACCUUAGAAUGUCAGGUGACCAACUGGAUAUGCCUUUGGUCUUGAAUUUAGACCGAGUCUUAUGUAUUAACUUCGUCAUUUCUCGCUGCAGAUUUCUUAUGACAAGUUGAAAAUAAGCAGUACGAUUUGUCCUACCUCAAACUGACCUGACAUCUUAGAUAUACUGAACUAGAGGAGAACCUUAAUCAUCAACCCAAUUUAGUGAGUGGUACACUCACAUGGGGAUGAUUAUGGGCACAGGGAAAGAAUUCAUCAUAAUUCAUGCUCAAAUAGUGUCGAUAUUCAUGAAACUUGACAUUAAAGAUCAUCAUUGCCACACUGCAAAGAAGAGGGAAGCAUUAGCUAGACUGCAACCAGAAAUGGGUGAGGGGUGUUGCUUAGAACAUCAUCAAAACUGAGUAUGUGCACUCUGUCUCCUAGUUAUUUUCUUUUUUCUUUGUUUCUUUGCUGGUUGCCUUUGAACAUCUCUUGCUUACCACCUUUGAUUUUUGUUUUGCAACCUAGAUCCUGAUGAUUUGCUGUUCAAGGUGAAGCCUAACUGUUUCCUAAGGUGGUAAUCUCUCCAAAGCUAAUUCUGUUAUUGAACAUUGCCUGUGGCAGAUGAUACAUUACAUUUGAUUCUGCGGCUAGCAGGAACUUUGACUGUCUCUGAUUUCUUGGUUGUAUUUGCCAAGGAACACAGAUGCAUGACAGAGCUUGUUUAUAAGUCGCUCAACCCUGAUGUCAGCCUUCUCUGUUUACUCUGCAAAGUGUAAUGAACAUAGAAAAUGAAGAAAGCAUUCUAAGAGGAUCAUCUCAGACCACAAAACACUUCUGGAGCAAGAUGAGAUGUCAAGUCAGAGACAAUGCCAUUAGAAUUAGGGUGGGUUUCCAGUCUCAGAGCCACAUCCUCUUUUGUUCCUCACCUAUCCUUCAUCCUUGCUGCUCCCUUCAAGAAUUUGGACUACCUCUGACAUGUUGGAUCAUUUCUUAGGAGGAAAUUGGGUGCAUAUCAGAGCCAGUUUGAUAAGCUUAUGAGCCUCGUUUUCACUGGAAUCACCCUGCAUACUUGUGUCCAUCAGCAGAUCCAACUAUAUAUCUUCCACAAGUUCUUCCACCCAGUCAAAUGAUGAAGCGAUCUUUCUCAUAAUCAGAGAAAGAUCAUGACGAGUAUAACCAGAGACAAACUAUAAAACCACCCACCAUAAGCAGAAGCAUUAGUCUUCACAGAUGUAUUCUGGAGCCACGUAGCCCGUAGUACCAUAUACAUAAUAAGUAGAGUGAGAAUCUUCAAAACAGUACGGAAGCAAACAGGUAUUCUCUUGGUUAUACUAUGUUGUAUUUUCAAGCUCACCAUCAAGACAUCAAACGGUAUCUUCGCACUUGAUGAAUUUCGCCAGACCAAAGUGUGGAAUGAGAGCCUCGAAUUCCUUGUCCAACAAAAUGUUUGAAGGCUUUAUGUCAUGAUGAAUUAUCUGGAUAUCACAAUUCUCAUUGAAGACAGCAAAGCCCUCCUGCUACUCCUUGUUCGAUGGGCAUCUGUGUUGGCCAGUUGAGAGAGGGCAGCAAUCCAACCUGUUGCCUGUGCUGCAGGUGCUUCCAUAAACUAUGAGCCAUUGUUCCAUAAGCCAAUAAAUGGAUAUACAAGGAAGACUUGCUAUUUUGUGUUCAUUUCUACAAGUUCCUGUGAUUAUGCUUCCUUUCAAAAGCCAAUUAUUUGGAGCAGAUUCCGAUGUAUGGUUGCUCUCUGGUCCUGUAAUUCUGCUCGAAACUGCGCAUGACAAAGCAGGAGGCUUGCAUGGUUCACAUCUUCUAACUGCCACCAAAGAUCCAUCAGCUAACUGGCCUUUAUAGACCUCAGCAUAUGCACCUCUGCCAAUCAAGGGUUCUUUUAGCUCUGUAAGAGAAGUUUUAGGAUUUAGUUCUUCAGCAAGGUUUGUGUGAAAACUGCAAGAGUUCCUUCUGAUUCCAUUAAGAAAUCUCAACUGUGGAGGUGGCACCGUUGGCAAAUCGUUCUGUGACUGCAAGAGCUCUAACGCAACCAUUCCUGAAUGCAAGGCAAAUUGUGGAUAGCAGAGAAGUAGGCUGAGAGAACAGUGUUGACACGGCAAUGUUUUCUUUGAGAUCGACAGUGGAGAACUUGAAAACCGUCUUUUUUACCACUCUCUAUCAAAAUGUGGAGUCGCCCUUUUUUAAUGUCUGGGAAUUGUAAUUUUGCGAAGGCCCUUUUUUCCUAUUUAAGAUUACACCCUCGGGGAACUGAUGUUCAGGAAGUAUUCUAGAAAGUAUUGGAUUGACAAUGAUGAGUUCCGCGUCCAUUGAAGUUCCAACUGAAGCAGUUGAGAUUCGAUGUGUAAUGCAAGGAGACGUGAGUGUAUUCAUCCAAAAAAUUAUCACCUUCAAUUGGAAGGCCAACACUGGAUGGACCAAGUCAUAUUUUCGAGGAAAAUUGGUCACAGAGGAGAGCAAUACAGAUGAGUUCUUCAGCAUCGUGUAAGUCCUAAUCACCAUCCGAUCCCACAUCUCUUAGACUUUCAACUUUUUAUGUACCCGAAGGCUUCAUCACCACUCUUGAGUCUUGAUCUUAAUGCAAGAUCGUUAGCCUUCUGCUAAUGCCAAAUCGAUCUUUGCUGGGGAGCUCAAUGAGGGUGUGAAUUGAAUUUUGAGAAGAUUCUUAGAAGCUCUUAACUGAGUCCAUUUCCUCCCGGUGAUGGAGCCACCAGUCAAUCCAUCGGUGAACGAAGUAUUUUAGGGAACAUCAGCAUAAGAAAACUGUCACAUACAAAGUUGUCAUCUGUCAUUGGAAUUUCUUUUGUAGUUUAGGGUGGUCUUCCAUGCUUAAAAUGCCUUCGGAUCAAAUCAAAGCCUCUGAAUCAUGAGUAGAUGCACGCGUACUAUCAUAGUAGGAAAGUCCUAGUCUCUGAGUUAGACGUUUGGAGUUCUUGAAUAUGCUAACUGAUCUGUCAUGGUCAAUCAGCAUCAGAACAAAAACCGGAAACAUGAACAAACAAGCGAGGAUUCUUUGUAUCUUGUAUGAUCGGUGGAGUCAACGUGCAAGAUCACACUACCCAACUUUUGCGGGACUACAUUCCUUUUAUGUUGCUUUUUCUAAGCUAAAUACAAGCUAAAAAUGACCACGGCCAUUCCUUUUACGUCCAUUUAGGCGGAAAUGUGAUCACUAUCUUUGAAACAACAUGAUAAAUUAUCUGUUGCAUGGUAGAAUCAGCAAUUGCUAAGUCUUGUUCAUUUAUCACUGUCCACGAUCAAAAUAGUCAGAAAGUUUGAUGCAACAAGCAAGAGACAAAUGCUGUAAAUGCCAAGCCCAAAUGCGAAUGUCCAGCCAAGCGUUUUGGUUAUAAUAGUCUGCAGAAACCCUAUGAAUACAUUGGUUAUCUUUACCAAUUAAUCGAGCACUCUGUUGUCAGUAACAAGCACCAAAGACCACAAAUCUUCCUGAAAAUGUGAAAUAUGCUUACGCCAAAAUAUGUAAACACUGACAGCAACUUCAAUCGGUUCAUUCUACACUGAAGUUAUAAGCGUUCCCUUCAACCAUCUGACCACUAGCGACGUAUCGGGGCGUCUCCAUGGCAACCUCUUCGUACACGCUAUAGCUAACUUAAUCAACUUCAGCAUCUCUUCUUCCACGUACUUCCCUUGCAAAGAGGAGUCAAUUAGCACAUCCAAAUUCCUUUCAUCAAAAGCACUUUUCACCCAUUCGAACACAUUAGUCAUUGGCAAGUCGAGCCAGAUCCGAAAUGCUCCUUCCCGUUAUCACUUCGAGAAGCAUGACCCCAUAUGCAUAUACAUCAGUCUUUGUCUUCCCGUGAUGAAGUACUCAGGAUCCAUAUGCCCAUGUGUUCCGGGCACAUUAAUUUCGAUGCAAAUUUAUUCGUAGUCCAUCAACACUGCCAGUCCAAAAUCUGAGAGAGCCACUCGGUAUUUCUCAUCCAAUAGAAUAUUCGAAGCUUCAAUGUCUCGAUGGAUGAUCUUGGGAUCGCAGUCUUCAUGCGAGUAAGCGAGCGCCUUGGCAACUCCGUUCGCAACCCUCAUCCUUACUGACCGUUCCAGGGUGGUCCCUCGAUCUAAAAGAUUUGACCGAGAUGAUCCCAAGUGAUUUGCUACGCUUCCACGAGGCGUAAACGCAUAAACUAGAAAUAGUUCUGUGGGUAUGAUGCAAAACACAAGCAGACCAAGCACUUUGCGGUGCUUGACUAUGCUGCUCACUUUCAGAUCCAGUCAGGAACCCUGCGAGGUUGCUUCCUCCCAAUCUCUUGACGGCUGCUAGAGAACCGUCCACUAAGCUUCCCCUAUAAACCGUGGAAAAUCAGCCCUUACCCAGAACAUGGGCAAAAUUAUUUGUCGUAAGUUGUACCUCACGCAGAGAAAACCUCUUGACUAGUCCUAGAUGUCUCUCCAGAUCCUCUUCAGAAGGCAUACAAUUACUUGAAGAAUUCCCCAGUUGCUUCUUCAAGACUCGCCGUCACCACAGAAGCUGGCUUGGUAGGGCCGGGCAUGAAGAAACAGAGGGACCUGCAUCUCCUUUCACGAUAGACCUUACAGAACUGCAACUUGCUUUGCCGGAGGACGGCGAUGAAGGAGCACUCGCUGGCAGCGACGAACCAAGGCGGGUAUUGAACAUGUCCUCUAUGUAACUGGAGCUUACUUUGAACACCAUUUGAAACCCAGAUAGAUAAGAGUCACUUUCGACUCCUCAGAGCUCUGAUGUGAGAAGCGCUUGAACUUGGUGGGAAAAGAUACGAGAAUGAGAAUGAGGUAGUUGUAUCAAAGUCUUUGAUCUAUCAUUCCAGGCUGAACUGAGGGAAUUACAACUGGGCAUGGCCAUGGAUCAUUCGUGUAGCCACCACAUUUCGGUUUGACUGUUUUUGCCCACUGAUCCCACUGGCUUUGGCAAAUUUUUCAAAGUAGAGACAUCACAACACAACAGACACCAUUUUUUAUUGAGAAGGUUGAAAGACUUUGACCUGAUAACAUUGACCAGCCACUGCUUAAUCAAGGUUGUGGUUUGAACUUGGAAGAGGUUGAACUUUUAUAAUUCCCAUUUAUGCACUCGACUCAGAUUCUGGAAAUUACUCCACAAUCAACUGAAAUCUCAAUAACCUCUGUGAAACAGCAGCCAAAGGGCAAAAAAUGAAGGGAGUCUGUAGACAGACUUGUGACCACUCCAGCUGAUGGGUCCAGUGACAGAUCGCAUUUAGGGAAACCCACCAGAGCCAAUAAGCACGCUCUGGUCAUGCGGACAUGAUUUGUCCAAAAGAUUGUCAUGGUUUUUAUUGGUACACUUAUGUUAUGAACUCAUUAUGAUUGGCAUUUGAAGGGCCCUUGCAAGUGAAGUUUCAAUCCCAAUUCUGAUGCUGCUAUUUCUUUUGAGUACUAGUGUUGCUUGGUUUUGGCCUGAAGGCUAGAGCCAGAUGAAGAAUUGGCUUGGCUGCAAAUACAGUUCUGUUCAUGCAAUUGGCUGAUUCUUAAUCUAAACAAACUUAAAAAGACAGUUCUCUAACCGUAGCUAGGAUUGGACACUUUUUUCUGUCUCAAGCGCAUGAUAUAUGCUGUGAAAUUAAUCAAGAAGUGGAAGACUGAUUGGCACAGACUAGUGCUGAUUAAUUUUUGCAUUUCUUGACACUGCUCCAUUGUUUGCAUGACAGAAACUGACACCGUUAUGAGGUGGACGUCCAAAUGGAGCUUGUGUUCUGUGAACCAGAAGGUCAGGUAAGAGAACACUUGAGUUUUGUUGUACUCAGGACAGAAACAUCUGAAGCAGAAGCGUUUUUUCAGAUUAACUUUGAUAGACAUUUCAGGGAAGCAAAAGAAGAAUCGGACACCAAUGAAGUCCUUAAUGUUCUGGCAUCUGAGAACAUUAAAGACAACUUGGUCGGGAAACUGAUUUAAUUUGCCUUCGCCUUUCCCUACAUUAGAUAAAAAGAAUAUGUAAACCAGAUGAAAAUGAAACGAAGUAUUCGUAGCUGUCGAAUUAUAAAGUUCAUUACAUGAAGAAAGUGUUGCUCUGGUCAGGCGCUACAACACUUAUGACAACGGCGGUUUCCUCUCUUACGUUAGAAAACCUAAAACUAGAAGAGGCCAAGAACUAUGGAAAUCGACCCCUACCUGGAAUGGAACUUGGGAGAACAGCAGAUGCUCUUCGGGAAGUUCUAUCUUCUUGAUCCAUCCACCUAAGUGUCCUUCAGGAACCCAGUGAUACACCUAUAACUAAAAGAUAAAAAUUAAAAAGAUUAGGGGAGUCUGUCAGACAGCCGUGCGACCAUCCCAACCGGAUCACUCCGGCUGAGAACGAUCCUCUACAGCUCAAAUGGAUCCAGCAGGACCCAACAGAGCCGUUAAUCACGCUCUGGAUACACGGCCAUGAUUCAUCCACCAGACUUUGGUUCCUGUCUCCUUAGGUCUCAAGGACACAGAGGUACGAGCCUAUAGAACAGAUCCUGUUCAAGUAAGGUCGUGGCCUAUCCUUCUCACUGCCCUUUUUAAAUACCGAUUAUUCCUCGAGUGCGCUCUCGAUGUGGGACUUUAGGAGGUCGUGCGCGUUAAGCGCACUCAUCCCACAACCUCCCUCCCCUGUUUCUUCUCUCUUUUUUUCCCCGUCUGCUUUUAUGUUUGUUGUGUCGCAGCUUAGCUAGGGGCGAUUUGCAGUGUUCUCAUUUGCAGGUUAUUUGCGUUCAACAGAGAACGUAACUUUUCCUGAGUGUAAAAGUGAACGAUGCUUUGCUGCGACAGACCCGAAGAGUCGUUUGUCUUUUUCGAGUAGGGGAGAGAUGCAUUGUACGGCUGAUAAUCAAUGGAUGCCGAUUGGGCUCGGUAUAAUCCAACACAGUUUUCAAGCCCACUUGAGAGAGAGAGAGAGAGAGAGAGAGAGAGAGGAGGAUACAGAUUAUUAUUUUUAUAAGACUCUUUACCUUUAUCUUGGAGGAUUGUAGGAGGAGACAUGUCACUUCCUCCCUCCUUUCCUCCUCUUUUUUUCUUUCCCUCUUUUUUUUACUAAUUCAUUUCGAUUUUAACUUUAUUUUUCCAAGUAUCAAUAAAAGAUGAAAAUUAUGAGCCAAUUAUAAAAUUAUUUACAAAUAUUUCAAGGCUCAAUAGCUCAUAUUUGCAAGUGUAAUUGUCCGAACGAAUUAGGUUAUGUAUUCAUUUUGAAUAAUUAAUUUUGAACAAAGAUAUUGGUCAACUAGAUAAGCUGAAUCAAAUUAGUAUUUAACAAUAUCAUAUUAAAAUUAGAUUAGUUUCAUAAUUUCCUUAUCUUAGGCCAUCCUCAACUAUCAUAUACUUUUCAUAAUCUUCUUUUCCUUUCAUGACUACAAAAAUAAGCAAUGUUGUUUUCCUUAUAUUUUAUAUUCUAAUUUAAUAUAUAUAUAUACAAAAGAAAUUGCUCAUAUGAUCACCAAAGAUCAAAGAAAUAAUUUCUCAUUUGAAAUUUUACAAAAAUAAAACAAAUGAGAGAAAUUAUGGUUUAUUUUGUAUCUAUGAAAACCAUAAAUAUUACAAAUAAUUUAAAGGAAUUGAUAUUAAGAAAAAUAUCCAAUCUUUCGAAUGUUAUGUGUGUAUACAUAUAUAAGUUUUGCAUCUAAAAGAAAUCAGCAAAUCUCUAUAAGUAAUUUAGAAUAAUUAAUUUCGAAGAAAGAUUCCCAUUUUUAAGUGUUAUGGAGGUAUAUAUUUCAUGGUUCAUUUUGUAUUUAUAUGAAAUCAUAAGAUCUCUACAAGUAACUAAAAAGAAGUAAUUGCAAGGGAAAGAUUCACGCUUCAAAUUAUCUUAUUAUGCAUCCAAACAUGGUAGUAAUCACUUCAUCUUAAUUCUUUUAGAAAAAAACAUUUAUAUACACUUCACAUCAUCUUACUUAGACCACUAACAAAGUAAAGCAUAAAAGUUGAGUACUAUUAGAAGAUAAUAUAAAUAUUUAUGAAAAAAAGUACUUUCAUUAUUGGUCAACCUUACAACAUUAGCCAACAAAAUUAUAUGCGAAGCACGGCUGACAAGACUAGUGAAAUUAAUGAAAAUGAAGAUAGUUGACGAUGAUGCAAAUCAUAAAUUCACACAAGUGAACAGAAUACAAAAUCUUAAUUACUUAUACGAUUAUCCAGCUUGAGAGUAAGAUAGUUUUAGUACUUUUUUUUGCUAUGAUUAUUGGCUUUUAAUCGAAAGGCCAAGCCUCCUCAAAUAUGGUGAUUCGGUCCCGUCUAAUCUAAUAUAUUGUCUGUAGUCAAAGUCGAAGCUGAAAAAAUAGCUGCUCUAAUGCUCUACCACAUGACACUUCAUUUUGCUUCCGAAACUACCAUGUAAAAUUUAUAUAUUCUAUUUAUAUUGAGUUUAAACUUAAAAAAGUAUAAACUAGAGAAAAGUAUUUUAAAUUAAACUCUCCAUUGACAUUUUUUUUUUCAAUGUAAUUUCUUAGACGUAUUUGUAAACAGCAAAAUUUAAGCCAUAAAAUGCUGCAUAUAUAUUUCAGUGCUUAAUUUUGAUUUGCAAGCAUAACUCUCCAAUCAAAUCAGGACAUGUAUACAAGGUAGAACAAUUAAACUUGAACGAGAAUAUCGAUCGAUUGGAUAAGCUAAAUCAAAUUAGCAUUAUCCACAUGAUUUUAACAAUUAAUUCAAUAUUGGUUGAAAAAACUAAAAUUUGGUCUAAUCUUUCUGGAGCAAUGGAAAUUUCGAAUAGUUGACCAUGAUCAUUUUGCACUAUUUGAAUAUAAUCUUUCUAGGAAGAGCUUUCGCCUUGCUUGUAUCGCAAUGUACAUGAAUAGACAAUCGAUAAUGGAAUGAUAAUAUACGAGAUGGAGCUUGGAUAGAGAAAGUGAACUCCACCAUAGUCCAAUGACCCAAAGGCCAUACUCUAAACCCAAAAAAUGUUUAAAUGUUUGAAAUGGACUUUGUGAUGCCCAAAUGCAGGUCCUAGUGGAAGAGAUCCUCUGAUAAUUGAGGGUGGUUUGAGUCUGACCCAAAAGAAAAAACAAAGAAACUUGAACUCAUUCCAAGAUUCAUCCGUUGCGUCUUGUACUAUCUUGAUGUUUGCAUUGGGCUCUUCUCGACCUUCCACUGAUAAAUGUACUGUCUUGAAACAUUGCGCAAGUCAGUUUUUAAGGAGAAAAACGUAUGUUGUGACACGUUCUUCUUGUGAUGGCCACAAAUGAAAACGUGCUCUCCUGAUGACCAAAAAAAAAAAAUUGUACAAUGGCCCAACACUCCAAUGCACUUAUAUGCAGUGUCGGUGGAAUAUAGGUUGGUCUUAAAACUUCAUGGGCAAUGAGUGGUCCAAAGACCAUCCAAUUGAUUGGCUCAUUUUGUAAUUCCCGACAGAUACAAGGCAUCGGCCCAGGAAGAGCAACGUCAACUCCUAAUAGAUUCACUGAACUUUAGGAGCCCAUGAUCAUCCCCUCUGCAUCUUCAAAACCCAGUAAACCAAUAAGACAGCAAAAGAAAGUGCUAAAAUUGGAUGAUGGAUCCACUCAAAUAGAUAAAAUUAUCUCCAACACAACAUGGUAAAAAAAUCUGUCACGGGAUUAAAAUCAACAAUCGCCAUCUCCGAAACAAGCCAAAAAUGACCACAACCACACAUUUUAUGUCCAUUUACCCAGAAAUGUUAUCACUAUCUCUGAAACAACACAAUAAAAGAUCUAUCGCACGGUUGAAAUUAGCAAUCGCUAACUCUUGUUCAUCCAUUGUUGUCCACCAUCAAAAUAGGCAGAAAGUUUGAUGCAACAAGCAAGACACACAUGCUGUAAAUGUCAAGCCUGAACUCGAAUGUUCAGACCAGCGUUUUGGUUAUGGUAGUUUGCACAAACCUUAUGCACAUAAGUUUCCCUUGGUUGUCUUUACCAAUUCAUCGAGCAGUCUGUUGUCAUUAACAAGGCAUCGAAGACCACAUAUCUUCACUAAAGAUGUGAAAUAUGCAUACACCAAAAUACGCACUGACACCGACACCUAGUUCAAUUGGGUCAUUCUACACUGAAGUUAUAAGCAUUCCCUUCAACCAUCCUCUCCACUUGCGACAUAUCAGGAUCCACAUGCCCACCUGUUCCGGCCACGUCACUUUGGACGCAAGUCUCUUCGUAGUUCAUCACCACUGCCAGUCCAAAAUCUGAGAGAGCCACUUGGUAUUUCUCAUCCAACAGUUCAUUCAAAGCUUUAAUAUCUCGAUGGAUGAUCUCGGGAUCGCAGUCUUCAUGCAAGUAAGCUAGCGCCUUGGCAACUCUGGUCGCAACCCUCAUCCUUACUGACCAUUCCAGGGUGGUCCCCCGAUCUAAAAGAUUUGACCAAGAUGAUCUCAAGUGAUGUGCUACGCUUCCUUGAGGCAUAAACGGAUAGACUAGAAAUAGUUCUGUAUGAUGCAAAACCCAAGCAGACCGAGCACAUUGCGGUGCUUGACUAUGCUGCUCACUUUCAGUUCUGUCAGGAACUCUGCGAGGUUGCUUCCUCCCAAUCUCUUGACGGCUACUAAAGAACCGUCCACUAAGCUUCCCUUAUAAACCGUAGAAAAUCCACCCUACCCAGAACACGAGCAAAAUUAUUCGUCAUAAUUUGCACCUCACGUAGAGAAAACCUCUUGGCUAGUCUUAGAUGACUCUGCAGAUCCUCUUGACAAGGUAUACAAUACCCCGGUUGCUUCUUCAGGACUUGCCGCCACCAAGGAAGCUUGCUUGGUGGGGCCAGGCACGAAGAAUCAGAGGGCGCUGCAUCACCUUUCACAAUAGCCCUCACAAACCUCAACUUGCUUUGCCAGAGGACAGCCACAGAGGAGGACUCGCUGGUGGCAACAAGCCCGGGCGGGUAUUGAACCUGUCUUCUAUGUAACUGGAGCCUAGCUUGAACAACAUUUGAAACCCAGAUAAGCAAGUGUCGCUUUGGACCUCUCAGAGUUCUGAUGCAAGAAUCGCUCGAUUGGUGGGAAAAGAUUACGAGAAUGAGAAUGAGGUAGUUGUAUCAAAGUCUUUGAUCCAUCAUUCCAGGCUGAACUGAGGGAAUUACUAAUGGCCAUGGCCACGGAUCAUCUACGUAGCUUCCACAUUUCAGUUCGACUGUUUUUGCCCACCAAUCCCACUCGUUUUGGCAAGUUUUUCAGAGUAUAGACAUCACAACACAAGAGACACCAUUUUUCAUUGAAAUGGUUGAAAGACUUUGAGCCGAUAACUUUAACCAGCCAUUGAUUAAUCAAAGGUUGUGGUUUGAACUUGGAAGUGGUUGAACUUCUAUAAUUCCCAUUUAUGCCUUCGACUCAGAUUCUGGAAAUUACUCUACAAUCAACCGUAAUCUCAAUAACCUCUGUGAAACAGCGGCCAAAGGGUUAAAUAUGAAGUCAGUCCGUCAGACAGACAUGUGACCACUCCAGCCAGAGACUCCAGCGGAGAUCAAUCCUCUUAUGGCUCUGAUGGGUCCAUACUGACCACGCUCCGAUCGUGAUGGUUUUAAUUGAUAUACUUAUGUUAUGAACUCGUUAUGAUUGGCUUUUAAAGGGCCCUCGCAAGUGAAGGUUUGGUCCCAAUUCUGAUGCUGCUGUUUCUUUUGAAUCUUUGAAUACUAGAGUUGCUUGGUUUUGGCCUGAAGGCUAGAUCCAGAUAAGAAGAAUUGGAUCCACGCUAAUACAGACAUGCUCAUACAAUUGGCAAAUGCUUAAUCUAAACAAUCUCAAAAAGACAAUAAUCAAACAGUUGAUAGGAUCGGACACUUUCUGCUGUCUUAAGCACAUGAUAUAUGCUGCGAAAUUAAUCAAGAAGUGGAAAGAUUGGCACAGACUAGUGCUGAUUAAUUCUUGCAUUUCUUGACACUGCUUCAGUGGACGUCCGAAUGGAGCUUGUGUUCUGUGAACCUGAAGGUCAGGUAAGAGAAUAUUUGAGUUUUGUUGUACUCAUGCCAGAAACAUCUGGAGCAGAAUCCUUUUUUCAGAUCAACUUUAAUAGGCAUUUCAAGGAAGCAAAAGAAGAAUCAGACAUCAUGAAGUCCUUAGUGUUCACUGUUCUGGCAUCCGAGAACAUUAAAGACAACUUGGUCGGGACACCGAUUUAAUUUGCCUUUGCCUUUCCCUACAUUCGAUAAAAUAUAUGUAGACCAGAUGAAAAAUGAAACAAAGUUGUUCGUAGCUGCCGAAUUAUAAAUUUUAAUUAUACAGAGAGAGUGUUGCACUUGUCCCGCACUACAACACAUGACAACAGCGAUUUUCCUCUCUUAAAUUGGAAAACAUAAAACUAGAAGGCGAAGAACUUUGGAAAAAUCCACCCCUACCUGGAACGGAACUCGGGAGAACAGUCACGAGUUCCACCUCACGAAGAGAAAACCUUUUUUGACUAGUCUUGCAUGAUUUUGCCGAUGCUCUUCAGGAAGUUCUAUCUUCUUGAGCCAUCCACCAGUGUCCUUUAUCAACUCAGUGAUUCACCUGUAACCAAAUAAAUAAAUAAAUAAAAAGAAAAAAAGAGGGGAGUCUGUCAGACAGCCGUGUGACCAUCCCAGCCCCAGUGGGCUGAGAACGAUCCUCUACAGCUCAAAUGGAUCCAAGCAGGACCCAGAAGAGCCGUUAAUCACGCUCUGGUUACACGGCCAUGGUUCAUCCACCAGACUUUGGUUCCUGUCUCCUUAGGUCUCAAGGACACAGAGGUACGAGCCUAUAGAACAGAUCCUGUUCAAGUAAGGUCGUGACCUACUCCCCUUGCUCCCCUGCUUAAAUACCGAUUGUUCUUCGAGAGCGCUAUCGAUGUGGGACUUUAGGAGGUCACGCGCAUAAAGCGCACUCAACCCACCACCUCCCUCCACCGGUUUCUUCUCUC
rnacentral:lncRNA from 1 species